CGAUCUGGGGGUGAGGGGGAUCCUGUCACAAUAAGCGACUGGUCCGGUGGCGACAGGUCUUUGAAGGACGCUCGCCCCGUGGACGAGGAGGUCGAGGCUUCUCCUGUCGCGGAGCGGACGCCUUGGCCCAUCGGGCUCCGCUCCAUCGAGGAGCAGAGGAAGAGAGGAGAGGAAGAAAGCAAGCGGGAGACGCGGCAACAGCUGCAGGAGGGGCAGCAGCGGCCGCAGCAAGAAGGAGAAGAAGGAGAGGAGGGGCGGCGGCUAGAAGGAGCCUAGCUUGCGGAGCUGCUGGAGCAGGCCGGCGGCAGGAGCUGCGGGAGCUCCAGGAGCAACAACAGCAGAGGAGCCAGCAGUUGGAGGCACUGCUCGAGCCACCACCUCAAAGUCCGCCCCAACCUGAAACCGGGGAGGAGGGUCUGCCGGUCUAUGGUCUGCCGACCCCGACGUGGCUCCGUCCAGGAGCGCCCGCGUCUAUCCCGGCGGAGCCAGGGUGAGCGGACGGCGUGGUGGCGCUCGCGUGCAUGAUGCGCAUCCUGGUGGACCCACAGUCCGAGAUCAAGGGCAUGAUCUACGGCAUCGAGGGGAUCGCUCCCGGAUUCCUUCGAGAGCGUCGAUCAUGGGAGGAUCGCAUUCCCGCCGAGGAAGACGAAGCCGGGACAUCGGGUGGUGGUGGUGCCAGCGAGACCGGGACCUGGAAGACGGUGGACGAUGACGGGCGGUUCCUCUCCCUUAUCGACCUGUUUCUACGCCACGGGGGGUCGCUCGAGACCGUCGAAGAGCUCAUCCGGGGCGUCAAGGCACGCGCGGAUCAGGAGAUGGAAAACUGGUGCCCUCACCGGAUCCGCAUUCGGGCCUCCACCGACCCGUCUGAGCCUAACAUCUUUUUGGAUGAUCGGAAGGAGGCCGAAAAGUGGGAGCAUCUCGAGGAGCUCCGCCUCUGGAUGAAGCAUGUGGUGGGGCUCCUGUCCGACGUCGUCAAAAACGGGCUCGGUCCGGCCUACUUCGUAAGUGUUUUUGGGUCUUAACUACCAUAGGACGUUUGGUUUUGUGUUCUUACCGUCCGUCUGCUAACCCGUAGGAUCUGAAGGAGACCUCCCGCUUUAAGUCGAGUUUCAUCCACGCGACAAGGGGCGGCUGGGAGCAACUCCCUCUCCUCAAGGACCAACUCCUGGAGUCACAGGAGAAACUCCUCAAGGCUUAUAAGGAGCUUUUGGCGCUCGAGGAGGAGAAGAAGGAGAGGGAGGCCGCUUUGUCUGACGCUCGGGAGGUCUCGAGGAAGGCGGUGGAAGAGGCCAGGCUAGUGAGGGAGUGGUCCAUGAUGGUCGAGGAGGCUGCGUCCAAGGCCCGGGAAGAGGCCGUGUUUUUCAAGGACGCGGCCGCUGACCUAGACAAGGAGAAGGGUCUCCUCCGGGCUGACCUCGCCUCUGCCCAAGAAACCUUCCAAAAAGAUGAAGGCGGAGUGCGUGAGGGGCGAGAUUGCCCGGAGCGCCGCAGAGGAGGCCAAGAAGAAGGCCCUCGAGGAUCUCGAGGCCGAGCGGGCUCGAUCUCGCAGCCUCUCUGAUGACGUCAAUCGUUUGAAGAGGGCGUUGCUGGAGAAGGACGGAGCUAUCGCGCAGGCGGGCAAGGCGAUCGCGGACCUGCGGGUCGCCAAUACUGACCUGGUCCGCUCUCAUAGGGAGAUCGAGAGGGUCAACACUGAUUUGGUCGGUGAAAACACGGCCCUAGAGGAGAGGGUUCGCGGUAUGUUUCUAUCAUCGAGUUUCCUUUCCAAGGUGUGCUUUGUGUUAUCUAACUUCUCUGUGUCGGCCUUUGUAGGGCUUAAAGAUGAACUGCUGGCCGUUCAAGUUGAGGCCCGCUCCACCAAGGCCCAGCUCGAUGAGGAGGUCGCUUUGAGCGGUCGGCUGCGGACCGCGAUAAGCGAUCUUUUGGCCUCCUGGGAGCUCGAGCCUGUGGACGAAUCGAGGGAGGCGGCUCGAGGCGACGCACUGGUCGAUCAGCUGUGUUACCUAGGUGCUACGCUGAGGGACCGGGUGCGAGACGCCCUUCAUAUCGGGGUGAACCGAGCGAUGGCGGUUGUCUGCUCGGGCUUUUCCUAUGAUAUGGAGGUGGUGUCCCACAGCUUCGUCACCGAUAUUUCCAAGACCGACGUGGAGAACGAGGAGAGGCUCCACGCCUUGAUCGACGACGCGGAGGUUCCUUGGGAAAGGCUGGCGAAACUGUUCGAGCUAGAAGUGCUUCCUCCCGAGACUAGCUCGGGCGCGGGCGAUGUUGGAGUGGGUCGAACACAGACUAAGGCCUGUGAGCCUAUUCUGGGUGCUAAGGCCCCUUGUACAGUACUUAUUGUCUGUCUUAAGUGAUAUUGUAUUUUUAAGCGGUUUAUAAGAUCUCUGAAUAUUUGCUUAUUCUUUUGUUCGCACCCUCUUUUGUUUCUCUUAUGCCUAUGUCUGUAUUCCUUGCUCGGUCUUUUGUUAAGGUGACCUCGAUUGCCUCGAGGGUGAGGGAGCGAGUAGAGUUACCAUAGCCUGGGGGCGUAGGAGUUUCUCAGGCUCAUCGUCUCUCGGCCCUUAAGGGGCUCGAGGUGCCUCUACUACUCGAUCGUGCGAGGUUUACUGGUAGGAAAGAAAAAAAAUCACUUGGUUUUUUUAGACGUUGGGGGGGCCUGCUAGCCCCCGAGGGGGUAUCGACUAUGAUGGGUCAUAGUUGGUACUCCCUUCUAACGUCGAGAUUUCGACUAAUGAAAAAGUAAAUUACUCGAGGGAAAGAUCUUAUCCAUUCAUGCAUUCAAUCAUAAGGUCUUGGUAUAGAAUGUACAUGGGAACAUGAAACUUUGAAAUUCUAGGGGUAGAAUCGACGUAGCUGUUCGAUGUUCCACGCGUUGGUGAAGAUUGCUGCUUUUUCGUCUGUGAGCUUGUAUGUCCCUUGCUUCAGGACCUCGGCCACCACGUAUGGGCCCUCCCAGGGCGGGGUCAGCUUGUGGCGUCCUUGGUUGCUUUGCCGCCGCCGUAGAACAAGAUCACCCACAUUCAGAUCCUUUUGCGCACGUGCUUGUCGUGGUAGCGUCGAAGCUUCUGCUGGUAUCUGGCGGAGUUGAGGAGGGUCAUGUCUCGAGCUUCUUCGAGCUGGUCAACCGCGUUCUCUCGAGUCUCCUUUUUUGAUUGCUCGUUGUAUGCUUUGAGUCGAGGGGACCCAUACUCGAGGUCGGUUGGGAGCACUGCCUCGGAGCCGUAGACCAUGAAGAAUGGGGUAUAUUUCGUGGCCCUGCUUGGUGUCGUUCUUAAGCUCCAUAGGACCGAAGAGAGCUCUUCGACCCAUUUCUUGCCGAAUUUCUUCAACCGAUUGUAGAUUCUUGGCUUGAGUCCUUGCAAUAUCAUGUCGUUGGCACGCUCGACCUGGCCGUUAGUUCGAGGGUGAGCUACUGCCAACCAGUUCACACGGAUGUGAUGCCGGUCGCAGAAGUCCAAGAACUUUUUGCCGGUAAACUGAGUGCCGUUGUCGGUGAUGAUGACAUUGGGGAUCCCAAACCGGUGAAUGAUGUCGGUGAAGAAAAGGACAGCUUGCUCGGAGCGGAUGUUCGUGAUAGGUCGAGCCUCGAUCCAUUUGGAGAAUUUGUCGAUGGCUACCAGCAGAUGGGUGUAUCCUCCUGCCGCUUUCUGGAGAGGUCCCACUAGGUCGAGACCCCACACCACGAACGGCCACGUGACAGGGAUCAUUUGGAGGGCAUGAGUGGGGAGAUGCAUCUGCUUGGCGUAAAACUGGCACCCAUGGCACGAGCGCACGAGCUCGAUGGUGUCAGCUACGGCCGUUGGCCAGUAGAAGCCCUGUCGGAAAGCGUUCCCUAUGAGGGUCCGUGGAGCGGCGUGGUGGCCACAAGCCCCCGAGUGUAGAUCCUCGAGGAGCUUUCGGCCUUCUUCUAUGGUGAUGUAGCGCUGCAAAAUUCCCGUCGGGCUUCGUCGGUAUAGUUCGUUGCUUUCGCCGUAGAUUACGUAUGAUUUAACCCGUCGAGCGAUACGGCGGGCCUCGGAUCGGUCUUCUGGUAGCUCGCAUCGAAUUAGGCAAUCGAGGAACGGCGUGCGCCAGUCGAACGGUCGACCGAGCCGCUGCUCCUCCUCCAUUACCUCGGCUCCCGCUAGCAGUGCUUCGAUGGUGUCGGUUCGGAGGGGAGCGGCUUCGACGCCAGCCCCCGAGCCCAAGUCGACAGAAGGCUCGUGCAGAUCUCUUGAGAACGCAUCGGGCGGGACCGUACCUCGAGUCGAGGCAAUCUUGGCGAGUUUGUCGGCUGCCUCGUUGUAGCAUCGGGCGAUGUGGACGAGCUCGAGGCCGUGGAACUUGUCCUUGAGUCGACGUACCUCCUUGCAGUACGCCUCCAUUUUCGGGUCGUGGCAGUUGGAGGCCUUCAUCACUUGGUCGUUGACGAGUUGUGAGUCACCUCGAACGUCGAGGCAUCGAACUCCUAGCUCGAUGGUGAUCUUCAGACUGUUGACAAGGGCCUCGUACUCCGUGACGUUGUUGGACGCAGCAAAGUGCAUUCUGAUGACGUACCUCAUAUGAAUGCCAAGGGGCGAGACGAAUAACAGACCGGCCCCAGCUCCUGUCUUCAUGAGAGACCCGUCGAAGUACAUCGUCCAUAGUUCUGCUUGAACUUGAGCUGGGGGAGUUGGGAGUCCGUCCAUUCCGUGACGAAAUCCACUAGAGCUUGAGACUUGAUGGCCUUGCGGGGUGCAUAAGUGAGGGUCUCACUCAUGAGCUCGACCAACCAUUUGGCGAUUCUUCCCGUGGCCUCCCGACUUUGGAUGAUUUCUCCCAAGGGGAAGGACGAUACUACCGUGAUAGGGUGGCCGAGGAAGUAAUGUUGCAGCUUGCGUCGGGCAAGGAUCACAGCGUAGAUUAGCUUCUGGAUCUGCAGAUACCGUGCCUUGGUCUCUAAGAGUACCUCGCUGACAAAAUAAACCGGCCUCUAGACUGGCAGCGCAUGCCCCUCUUCCUGCCUCUCGACCACCACUGCCGCACUGAUGGCCUGGGUCGUCGAGGCAACAUACAGAAGCAGAGUGUUGAUGCAAAAACUAGUCUGCAAACACAAAGGGCUAAUACCCGAUUCAAACGUUAAGGCGUGCCAGCCGAUUUGACCUUACUAUCGGCAAAGGUGAUAACUCGAAUACUUUAGUCCUGACAACAGCGAUGCGCCCGGAUGUCACGGCUAAGAGGUACUCACGCGGAACUUGAGGAUACGCCGAGCUUGAGUCGACGAAUUCCUAAGAACUCGUAACAAAAGGAAAACGUAUGACGAAGUCGUCGAAAAGUAAAUGCUGGAAUAUGAGUAAAAACGUGUGUUUGAUUGAUUGAUAGAUGUCUUGAUUACAAGGUCCUAGGGCUUAUAUUUAUACCCUGCUCAAAGAGCUACGACCAGACACGAUUAGAAUUCGAAUUCCAAAUUACACGGAACCCGUAUACAAAAUGAUAUGAAUAACUAAGGAAAUAAUAAAACCAUCCUUCGUGACAAACCGAAACUCCCCCACAUGACAACUGGCAGCUUCCGGACUCCUCCUUCGCGUCAUCGGCAAUCUCCUCGCCAUAGUCAUCGGCAGACCUUUCUACUUGGUCAUCGGCACCAUAUUACUGCCUGAGGACUUAGUCACAUUCAACCUUUCCCUCAUCGGCAACCAUCCUUAUCAGCAACCCGCAUCGUACUGCCACCCUAUCCUGCCAUCCUGGACACGUGCCCAAAAACGGUGUCAACACAUGCCCCCCAGUUUCGGAGUAUAAAACUAUUAAUGCUCCGAAAUUCUCUGCAGCAAUGAUGUCUUCUCCGCAAUUAAUGCUCCUAAUCUGGCAACCGACAACCUCAAUCUGGACAACUCUGAUCCUAAUCCUCCGCAGAUCCCUCAAAAUCCCCAACUUCCUAAACGGGCAUCUCUCUUAGUCGUACAUCGGCAACAAUACCGUUAUAAAGAUCUGCCGAUGCUCUGCCCAGGAGAUUCGCAAAAACGGUUACCUCCCCUCUAUCCGCCCAUCGGCAGGACGACCGUUAUAGAAUAUCACCGAUGGACCGACUAGGAGAUCGCGCACAGUAAAAUAUCUUUAGAUAAUGACCGCUUCCUGUCAAAUCACCUGCACAAUCCCUGGAUUAUCGUGCGAACAGUUACCAUAUCCACUUGAGUACCCUCGGGCUUCUCGGACGCGGCAAAGAAAUAAGUCAGAUUUGCCCUUGUCCAUCUUGUCCUAUAAAUAGCUCCUUCUUGGGUACUCCUCCCCCAUUGCAUCAUUCUGCCAUCCAACUUCACUUUUCCAGCGGCGGCGCCAUUCUCAAUCCUCAAGAUCUCCGACAAGCAUUCUUCCUCAUCAACUCUGGCGCCCUCCAGCGUCCUCUUUACGACAAGAUGGCCGUUGGCUUCGUCGUCCCUGAGGUCAGACUUCCAUCUCAUCUGCUGUACCUUUUUCUUGCAUUCCUGUUCAUCUGCGAUUCAUUCUUACUGAAUAUCUUCCUUUUCCUUUUUCUUUGUAUUUUUAUUCCCCAAAACACUAGGAAUUAUCCAACAAAAUUGUCAUCCCUACCGAUCAACCACAUCUUCAAUGCCUCGGCCCUCUAGGGGAUCCAGAUCCAACCGACCUUAUCAAUGCAGAAACCAACAGGAUUCCCUUUAGAGCUGAAAACAUUGCUUUAGAUCUAUGGAAAGACACCUUCCGCUCUUGGCCCAGCCCUACUGCAGGGUGGAAAGACUGGUUCUUGAGGGUCAGCAACUCUUAUGAAGUUCAAUGGGGUGAGAGGAAAUUAGCUCAAUGCAUUAGGCUGUCCAUUGCCGAUAUGCACAGGAACGAGUCAUUGCUGAUAGCUGCAUCUUACUUUUGGUCAGACACUCUCAACGCUUUUGUUUUCGGCCACGGCCCUGCUUCUCCUACCCUUGCCGAUGUAGCCAUGCUUACUGGGUUAGAUAUAUCUUCUGCCGAUAGCACCCAUUUUUUUGAUACCGCCCCCAGUGCCAAAGUGGAGACUCGCGCUAUCGGCGGUUGGUCAGGGUACAUUCAGAAGUACCGCGGGAGAGGGCCUGUCACCAUAAAGGAGCAAACCACCUUUCUGAACAUGUGGCUAGACAAGUUUGUAUUCUGUGGUCGAUCGGCAGGACCGACUUCUGUCUAUCUAUCGGCAGCAGAAAGACUGGCUAGCGGCGGCCAAUUUCCUCUCGGCCGUUAUUUGCUCGGCGCUGUUUAUCACCUUCUUCAUCAGGUAGUCCAGAAACUCCUGCUCGGCCAACCUAUCGGCAACUUGGGAGGUCCUUGGUGGUUUAUUAAUAUGUGGCUCAAUCUGCACCUGCACAAGCGCCUUGAUCUCAACUUGUUCUCACAGCACUUCCCAAGAGAUAUAGCCGAGAAUCAUGUGUUGGGUGAAGAAGAAUCGGCAACACGUGCCCCCCUGAACUUUGGCGAAGCUGUUAUAGUCUUACCCGGUUCAGGGAACACUCCGGAUCAGAUCGGCCGAUUCUUCGAGACGCUGUAUGAGGGUCUGGCCAGAGAUGAACGGCCAUGGCUGGCUUAUGACGACCCAGACAGCAUGCUCCCUCUGACCUUCAAUCCAUUUGAUGAAGCUCUUGACAGGGACAAUGAGGUGAUGAUGGCAAUCGUGACCCCCAGAGCCAUACCAGUGAAUUUCUUCGGUAGCACGAAAACCUCUCCCCAAACCUAUGAAUUUUAUAAUCCAUCGGCAUUAGCUCGCCAGCUAGCUUUCGGCUAAUUGCCGAUUGCACUUCCUUAUGUUGAUGUAAUAAAGCCCAGAGAGCCCAUCGCCAACCUCCUCGAGUGGACUCGAGUAGCCCAGCUACCACCAAAUGCCGAUACGGAUGUAGAUCUGUCAGAAUGGGUUCCAGCCGCCUUUAUCACUCAGGCAUACAAGCUAUGGUGGGCAGAAUGGAAAGAGAAUCUGUUCUGCAGAUCAGCCCUCUCAUACCGCGGCAUGAUCGACCCCGAAUACAAAGUCCCUGAUGACACUGUAAGUAUUUUAAACCGAUGUCUCAUUUUCCAAUAUCACUCCCAUCGGUAACUUACCCCUGUAUUCCUUUUGCAGAUUGACAACACCCCCCCAUCAGUUAGUAGGAGUGGCAAGCCGAUCGACUUAUUCCCUUCAGGCCCGAUCUCCUCAAUCGGCCAUAAUGCUCCCACUCUGGCUUCCAUCGUGCACCGGGGUGCGCGCCUCAAGAAAGUUACCACCAGGAAAACUCAGACAUCACCACCGGUAACUGCUUCCACUCUGGCACAAGCUUUCAAGGCAAUCUGUUAAAACCCGUUUUCCAUUUACGCUGACUUAUCUUUGUAUCGGCUAUCUGUACUCAUAAACUCCUUUUUGUUGUUGCAGCAAACUGGUGCAUCGGCAAAAGUCAAACGCCAAGGCGCCGAUGCCCCCCAGUCUAGCCAGCCAAAGAGGAAAGGCAUCCACGGUGCUAAGGCUGGAACAAAGCGCCAGAAAGUGGCAACUCCUCCUCCUCCUCCGGUGUUUCCAAUCCCGGUGGAAUCUUCCCCUUCUUCUCCAGACGUCCAGGCACAGCAAGUACUAUCUCCACAACCAACACAGGAAGCACCACAGAUGGAAGAACCUCAAACGGCAGGUAUAUCAGCUGAUGUAGGUGAACAAACAACUGGCCCGGCAGGUAUAGUUACAUCAUCGGCGGUUUCCUCGAUUCAGGCAACUGUUGUUUCUCCUCCGGGUAACAUAUCUCAACCAUACUCCUACCGAUAAACUUAUUCUCAUUUAUUCUUAUAAUCUUUCCUGUCUUCUUUCAGGCGAUAUCGCUCUAUCGGCAACAUUUGCCGAUCAACCUGCAGCUCCAUCGGCCUCUCUGAGUCAAAGGCAAGAAAUCGCCUUGAAGCAAGUAAGUCAUCCACUUUUCCAUCAGUAUCGUCUGCCGAAGUUUUGACCAUAAAAUUGACCUACUUCAUUUUUAUUUUCAGGAGCAAGAUUCUCCCAACAGCUUGUUCUCCUUCGCUAUCGAUAUCUUCGAAGAAGAAGGCGAGGAAGCAAGCUCCUCUCGGGCAGUUGGAAUUGUAUCGGCAGAAGCCAGAGCUAAGCUGGAGGAGCUAUCGGCCAUACUCCAUCAAGACACAACUCAACUGGUCAACGAUUCUGACCCAGCCAAGGCCCUGUUCAAGACCCUCAGAGGCCAAAUUCCUGCCGAUGCUGAAGAAACACUCUUCCAUGCUGCACAUCUAGAAAGCCGCCAGCUACAGUACCAGAGAGCUACUCGACGCCUUGCCGAUAGAGCUGCUCAAAUCCAGCUUUCUGAGGAGAUGAUGAAAUAAAAACUCUUAGCCGAUGAGAAACAUAAGAACAUCGGCACCCUUAAGUCCUCAGGUGAUGCACUGAAGCAGAAAGUGUCUGAUCUAUCGGCAAAAAGAGAAGCUCUACUGGCUGAACUCAAGCAAGUAGAAGAUGCUCUGUCCCAAGCCCAGCAAGAAGAGAGUCAACUGCCGGAGACCAUCAAGCAUCUUGAACAAGAACGAAACGUCCAUGGUCGCAAAGCGCUGCAACUGAAGAGGAAACUGAAGCCGAUCGAAGGUUCUGCCGAUGAUGAUAUCAAAGAGAUAGAGACAGCCAACCAGAUUCGGCUGCGCGCCAUAUCAGCAAUCCAAGCGCUGCUGAGCCUCUGAAGCUUUCAUCGGCGACACACCUUUGUUUUUCUGCCUUCAGCUUUUAGUCUAGCCGAUAAGACUGUUAUCGGCAUCUUUUGAAACAUUAAAUCUGCCCUCGAACAUUUAAAUCCAGCCGAUAGGAGUGUUAUCGGCACUUAAACUUUUAUGCGUCGAUCCAUAUGCUGGGGUAGUACUUCUUCAAAUAUUUGCCAUUUAAUGCUCUGGGAAAUUCAACUCCUUCGAGAGUUUCUAGAAUAUAGGCAUUACCAGGAGCUGAGUGUCUUAUCCGAUAAGGACCUUCCCAAUUAGGAGACCACUUCCCAAACUUCGAACUUUUAGUCCCGACUGGCAAAAUCAACUUUCAUACCAAAUCCCCAUCGGCAAACUCCUUAGUCUUUACUUUUUUAUCAUACCAUCUAGCAACUCUCUUCUUAUUUUCUUCUAUACUCAUUAAGGCCUUUAACCGAUGUCCUGCUAAAUCAUCUAACUCAUCGGUCAUCAAAGUGGCAUAAUCAUCGGCAGCCAAUUGAUCUUGAAAAGAUAAUCGCCUAGAUCCAGCCUUAAUCUCCCAAGGCAAUACUGCAUCAUGUCCAUACACCAAUUGAUAGGGUGAUACCUUGGUUGAUCCAUGGCAAGCCAUCCGAUAAGACCACAGUGCUUCAUUUAACACUGUAUGCCACCGCCUAGGGUUUUCUUCAAUCUUUCGUUUAAUAAGCUUGAUAAUUCCUUUGUUAGACGCUUCGGCCUGCCCGUUGGCUUGAGCAUAGUAAGGAGAGGAAUUCAACACUUUAAUUCCCAUACCGAUUGCGAAUUCAUCGAACUCCCCUGACGUGAACAUGGUGCCCUGAUCGGUAGUAAUCGUUUGGGGAAUCCCAAAUCGGUAAAUAAUAUGCUCCUUCACAAAAUCAAUCAUAUUGGCCGAUGUGACUUUCUUCAAGGGAAUAGCUUCGACCCACUUAGUGAAAUAGUCAGUGGCAACUAGAAUGAACUUAUGCCCUUUGCUAGAUGGUGGAUAAAUCUGGCCGAUUAGAUCGAUGGCCCACCCCCGGAACGGCCAAGGUUUUAUUAUAGGAUUCAUAGCCGAUGCGGGUGCUCUCUGGAUAUUACCGAACCUUUGACAACCUUGACAUCCCUUGAAAUAUGUAAAACAAUCUUCAAGUAUGGUUGGCCAAAAAUAUCCAUUCCUUCGAAUCAUCCACUUCAUCUUGAAAGCUGACUGAUGCGCUCCACACACUCCUUCAUGGAUUUCCCCCAUUAAACUUCUGGCUUCAUCAUCACCCAAGCAUCGGAGAAGAAUUCCGUCGAUAGUUCGAUAAUACAAUUCAUUUUCAAGGAGCACAUACUUGGUCGCUUGAAAUCGAACCCGUCUUCCAACUUUCUUAGAUGGAUCUUCUAGAUAGUCGACAAUCUCUUUCCUCCAGUCACCGGCACUGACUGCCGAUGUUGCAUUAAUCAUUGGCUGAUAUCCUGAGGCAUGCUGGGCUAACCGAUUAGCGUCCUCAUUAUGCAAUCGGGGAACAUGCUCCAAUCGGAAGUUCUUGAAUUCCUUUAACAGUUGCAUACUUUUCUCGAAAUAGGUUAUGAGAACUUCACUCCGGCAUUCAUAGCUUCCGGCCAAUUGAUUUAUAACCAACAUGGAAUCCCCGAAUACCUCAACAGCAUCAGCACGAACUUCUCUUAGCAACUCCAAUCCCUUGAUCAGAGCUUGAUACUCAGCCUGAUUAUUUGUUGAUGUAGCAACAAUCGGUAAGGAAAAUUCAUACCUCCUCCCCUUAGGAGAAACUAACACAAUGCCGAUUCCUGCUCCCCGGUCACAGGUAGAUCCAUCAAAGAAGAGCGUCCAGGGUGCAAUUUCCAAGGUUUCCACUAGGCCGCAAUGUUGAGUCACAAAAUCGGCCAUAACCUGCCCUUUGACCGCCUUAGCCGAUUCGUAACGCAAAUCGAAUUCCGACAGCGCUAAAAUCCAUUUACCGAUCCUUCCACUCAUAAUUGGCAUAGAUAGCAUGUAUCGGACUACGUCAUCUUUGCAAACAACAGCACAUUCGGCCGACAAUAGGUAAUGUCUUAGCUUGAUACAUGAAAAAUAUAAGCAUAAGCACAGCUUCUCGAUGGCCGAAUACCUGGUUUCAGCAUCAAUCAACCUCCUACUCAAAUAAUAAAUCACUCUCUCUUUCCCUUCAAAUUCCUGAACCAAAGCUGAGCCGAUAACCGAUCCAUCGGUAGAUAAAUAUAAUUUGAAGGGUUUCCCUUGUUGAGGUGGAACUAAAACUGGAGGAUUUACUAGAUACUUUUUGAUUUCAUCUAGAGCCAACUGCUGUUCUUCUCCCCAAACAAACUCCUGAUCGGCUCUCAAUUUUAGAAGAGGACUGAAAGCACGAAUUCUCCCAGAUAAAUUCGAUAUAAAUCUUCUGAUAAAAUUCACUUUGCCGAUCAAAGAUUGGAGCUCGGUUUUAUUGGUAGGGGCCACUAUUUUAUUGAUGGCAUCAAUAGAUCUUCGACUAAUUUCAAUACCUCUCUAAUGUACCAUGAAACCAAGAAACUGCCCUGCCGAUACACCAAAUGCACACUUGUUGGGAUUCAUCUUCAAUCCAUGCUUCCUUGUGCACUCCAACACUCUUCGUAAAUCGGCAAGAUGCUUUGAGAAAUCUCCAGACUUAACCACCACAUCAUCAAUAUAAAUUUCUACGAUCUUGCCGAUGAACUCAUGAAAUAUAAAAUUCAUAGCCCUUUGAUAAGUAGCACCAGCAUUCCUUAACCCAAAAGUCAUGACUAUCCAUUCAAAUAGUCCAACAUGACCAGGACACCUGAAUGCGGUUUUUGGAAUAUCCUCUUCUGCCAUGAAUAUUUGAUUGUAACCCGCAUUACCAUCCAUGAAGCUGAUGACCCGAUGGCCAGCCGCAGCAUCAACCAGUAGAUCGGCGACAGGCAUUGGGUAUCCAUCCAUCGGCGUAGCUUUAUUGAGAUUCCUGAAAUCAAUGCACACCCGAAGCUUCCCGUUCUUCUUGUAAACCGGGACGACAUUGGAAAUCCAUUCGGCAUACCGACACUGCCGAAUAAACUUAGCUUCAAUAAGUUUAGUGAUUUCGGCCUUAAUAUCAGGUAGAAUGUUAGGAUUACAUCGGCGGGCUGGUUGCUGAUGUGGCCGAAAUCCAGACUUGAUGGGUAACCGAUGUUCAACAAUUGAUCGGUCUAAACCAGGCAUCUCUGUAUAAUCCCAAGCAAAGCAAUCUUUAUAUUCCUUUAACAAACUAGUUAAUUGCCGUUUACACUCAGGAUUUAGUUUAGCACUAAUAAAAGUAGGCCUAGGCUUAUCACCACUACCUAUAUCUACUUCUGCCAAAUCAUCGGCCGAUGUGAAUCCCUGGCCUAAUUUUCCAUCAUCGGCGAAUCUAUCCAUUAAAAACCGUCGUCAGAACCGACUGCUUGGAUCGGUGGAAUCUCAUAAUCGGCAACUUUAAGAAAAUCUUUCUCCCAAACUUCUCCUGAAAUGCACCUAGUCUUUUCAUAAGUAUCCGCUUCUGCUGAUGCGAUAACAUAAGAAGAAUCCCCUGGGACGAUCUCAAUCUUGUCACCUACCCACUGAACCAAGCACUGAUGCAUUGUAGAUGGGACACAACAAUUGGCAUGAAUCCAAUCUCUCCCCAAUAAUAAAUUGUAGGCACCUUUUCCGUUGAUCACGAAAAAGGUUGUCGGCAAGGUUUUGCUGCCGAUGGUCAACUCUGCACAUAUCGCCCCCUUGACCGGAGACACGUUUCCCUCAAAGUCCUUGAGCAUCAUAUCGGUCUUGGUCAAAUCUUGAUCCCCUUUCCCAAGCUUCCGAUAUACUGCAUACGGCAUAAUAUUAAUAGCAGCUCCACCAUCAACUAGGAUCUUAGUCAUUGGCUGCCCAUCAACCCUUCCUUUGAGGAACAAAGCUUUAAGAUGCUGCCUCUCGUUAUCGGCAGGUUUCUCAAAGAUAGCCGUCAUCGGAUCCAGAGCCAACUGAGCUAUCUGAUCAGAAAAUCCCAACUCAUCGUCACUGGCUGGUGCAAGAAACUCCAUCGGCAACAUGAAUACCAUGUUGACGCCUGCCGAUGGACCUUCCUUCUUAGUGUCUGCCGGCUGCCGACUUUCAGAACUCUCUCCUUUAUUUAACUCCUCUUGCCUUUCUCGUUGCAACCUCCUUUUCUGUGUCUUGGUUAAUCCUUGAGGGCACCAUGGAGGAAGUGGCCUUUGCCUUACUGCCGGGCGUCGGUUCUCCCUUGACUCCAUACGAUGUGUGUUAGCAUCUCUGCAAAAUAUGAACUCAUCGGGAACCCGCGCAUUAGCCAUUUCCUCAAGCUCUUCCUGGUUCCUGGGAAAAUACUGGACACGGUCACCGAGCCGAUCGUGAACACUAAGCCUGCCCCCCAGCCGAUCAUGAACUGACGCCCUUCCUCUGAUUGGCCCAUUAAAUCGCCGUUCAUCAUCAUGAUAACGCCGAUCAUUCCUAUCGUACCGAUCAUAACCGUUGCAUUCAGGGCAGUCUCUGACAGUAGGAAGCUUGAUAUUUUCCUCCCAACAAUGGAUGAAGAAUGGGCAAUUCCAAUGAUCCCUGUGCCGAUUCCACUCCUGUCGGCGUCUUUCUUCUUCCCGUUGAUAAUCUUCCUGCUGGCGCCGAUAUCGAUCUUCCCGUUGUUGCCAUCUCUCUCGAGGCCUUCUAUGAGUUAUGACAAUACCAGACCGAGGAAGUCUUCCUGAGCUAGUUCCUUCCUGGACCAAGCCCUUACUUCUUGCAUCGGUGGUAGUAACUUGAUGCUGAGGAUCUACCGAUGCACUCUUCUCAGCUGUCUCCGACGUUAAGACCUUAGCCUUCCCCUUAGCGUCCAACAUGUUUGUCGGGAAAGGAUGUUGGUCUAUUUUCAUCGGCUUCUGGGCUUUAGAACUGUCAAACUUGAUUCUCCCCGACUCUAUAGCCGAUUGCAGCUGUUGUCUGAAUACUUUGCACUCGUUGGUGUCAUGUGAAGUUGCAUUAUGCCACUUGCAAUAUCUCAUCCUCUUCGACUCUUCUGCCGAUGGGAUCACAUGGUUAGGUGACAGUUUGAUUUGACCUUCCUGAAGUAGAAAGUCAAAUAUCCUAUCGGCCUUGGCGGUGUCAAAGGCAAACUUCUCUGGUUCUUUCUGCCCAAACGGACAAGACAUCGGCUUCUUGUUUUUUACCCACUCUGCCAAACCGAUUACUGGUUCCUCGUCGGAAUCUGAGCUUGUUGCUUCGUCAACAAAUGACACUUUCUUAUUCCAUGCCCUCUUAGGCUCGAAAGGCUUGAUGUCUUGAUCAGAUAUCCUCUGCACCAAAUGACUUAAACUCUCGAACUCUUGAGAUGCAUACUUAUCCCUGAUAUGUGGCAACAAACCUUGGAAAGCCAAAUCGGCUAGCUGCCGAUCAUCCAGAACCAGGCUAUAGCAUUUGUUCUUGACCUCCCGUAUCCUCUGCACAAAUCCCUCAACCGACUCAUCAUUACGUUGCCUCAACUUAACCAAGUUGGUGAUCUUCUUCUCAUGAACCCCCGAGAAGAAGUAUCUGUGGAAUUGCUUCUCUAGAUCGGCCCAAGUAAUUACUGAGUUGGGAGGUAACGAUAUGAACCAAGUAAAGGCCGAUCCAGACAGUGAUGACGAAAAUAGACGAACCCUUAAUUCGUCCCUGUUACCAGCCUCUCCACAUUGAAUAAUGAACCUGUUGACAUGCUCCAUGGUUGACGUGUCGUCUUGUCCGGAAAAUUUGGUAAAAUCUGGUACCUUGUACCGAUGUGGAAGCGGGAUCAAAUCAUACGCUGGAGGAUACGGUGUCCGAUAAGAAUAAGUGUUGACUUUGGGUUUUAUCCCAAAUUGUUCCCUCAUUACUUCAGCAAUCUUAUCGGCCCAAUAAGCAUCGGCAUCUUGCCGAUGAGGCGGCUGCGGAUCCAGCACUUGGUGGCGAACCUCCACGUGUCUGUUUGGGACGUGACCUGUAUGGAACAUCGUAUUGGUCACCUGUCCUCCAAUCUGCGGGCUACCAAACUGCUGUCCACCGAUUGGCUGUCCAAAAUUUAUUGGCUGGUUGGGAAUUCCCUGACCUUGGAACCCGGGAUAAACCUGCCCUUGCUGGAACCCCGUAGUCUGAUAACCCUGCUGGGGCGACUGUGGAAAGGCUUGCUGUCCAAGCCAUCCAUUACUAGCAUUCAUCGGCAUAGGUGCUGCCGAUGAUUGGUAAUUGGGUAUCGUCGUUGAAUUGACAUACCCCGACUGGGCCAUAGGCCUCUGUUGCAUCAGCAUUGACUCUGCCGAUGCGUUGGGCAUCUGGAACGUUGAAUCUUGAGGAUUUCCAGUGUGAGGCCUUGCAGUAGUAGUUGUGGUAUACCGAGGACUCUGGUUCACCGGCACAUUGGAAGGUGCCGAUGUCAUAGGAGUUUUGCCCCUCAUGUCAGUUAUCUGUGAUGUUCCCGGCGUCAACUCUGGAGGCAUACCAUAACCCCACCAGUUGGGAGGAAGAGUUAACCCCGACAUUGCCGAUGCCAACAUAUCUGUUGUCAGUUUAUGCUGCCCAACUGAAAUUUGUGGGUUGGUUGCCAUCGGCAUAGAUAGUGCACCAGUAGUCCCCAAUGUACUUGGAGGGACGGCAGAUUGUGCACUUGCACUCGUCAAGGCAGCCGAUGGAGCCGUGACCUCUGGUGCCGUGGGUUGAUGAUAGGAAGGGCCCACAUAAUCCGGCGGGAUUUGUCCUUCCUUGAAGGUUCUUGCCACGGCGUUGAAAACCGUAUUAGACAGUACACCAGCUUGGUUAAUCAGCGCUCGAUUGAUGGCACUGUCAACCAUGUCUUGAAGCUUGCCAGGAUUGGCGUCAAAGGUGACCUGCCGUGGUGCCGGCAGUGCAUCUUUCUGGACCACUUCGCCGCUCCUGUUUAUGCUGAAAGACUUCAGGCAUUGCUGCUUGAACUCUUCCAUGGCUUGGGCAAUAGCUUGCUUCUGCUCAUCCUUGAGGUUGGCUUCCGUCACGGGGAUAACGUUGUCUUGAUCGAGGUCAGAGAUUGACAUGUUGAUCUUGAUCUUGAAUCUGUCCCACUGGGCGUGCCAAAAGAUGUGUUGAUGCAAAAACUAGUCUGCAAACACAAAGGGCUAAUACCCGAUUCAAACGUUAAGGCGUGCCAGCCGAUUUGACCUUACUAUCGGCAAAGGUGAUAACUCGAAUACUUUAGUCCUGACAACAGCGAUGCGCCCGGAUGUCACGGCUAAGAGGUACUCACGCGGAACUUGAGGAUACGCCGAGCUUGAGUCGACGAAUUCCUAAGAACUCGUAACAAAAGGAAAACGUAUGACGAAGUCGUCGAAAAGUAAAUGCUGGAAUAUGAGUAAAAACGUGUGUUUGAUUGAUUGAUAGAUGUCUUGAUUACAAGGUCCUAGGGCUUAUAUUUAUACCCUGCUCAAAGAGCUACGACCAGACACGAUUAGAAUUCGAAUUCCAAAUUACACGGAACCCGUAUACAAAACGAUAUGAAUAACUAAGGAAAUAAUAAAACCAUCCUUUGUGACAAACCGAAACUCCCCCACAUGACAACUGGCAGCUUCCGGACUCCUCCUUCGCGUCAUCGGCAAUCUCCUCACCAUAGUCAUCGGCAGACCUUUCUACUUGGUCAUCGGCACCAUAUUACUGCCUGAGGACUUAGUCACAUUCAACCUUUCCCUCAUCGGCAACCAUCCUUAUCAGCAACCCGCAUCGUACUGCCACCCUAUCCUGCCAUCCUGGACACGUGCCCAAAAACGGUGUCAACACAGAGGCUCUGCGGGUUGGGGUGGGACCAAGACCGGGGCAGAGGUCAGUGUUUUCUUCAAGUUGUCGAGGGCUUCCUCGGCUUCGGGGGUCCAAGAGAAACGCUCGACUUUUUUCAAAAGCCGAUACAGAGGCAAUGCCAUUUCUCCCAACCUCGAGAUAAAACGACUUAGCACCGCCAAACAUCCCGUGACUUUCUGCACUCCCUUGAUGUCUCGGAUCGACCCCAUUCUCGUGAUGGCCGAGACUUUCUCGGGAUUGGCCUCGAUGCCGCGUUGGGAGACUAUGUAUCCCAUGAGCAUGCCUCGAGGUACACCAAAGACGCAUUUCUCGGGGUUGAGCUUGAUCUUGUUAGCGCGUAAGCAACCAAAAGCGAUCUCGAGGUCCUAAAUCAGGUCUCCUCGUUUCUUCGACUUGACGAUGAUGUCGUCAACGUAUGCCUUGACCGUCAACCCUAUAUGUUUACCAAACAUGUGGAGCAUGCAUCGCUGGUAUGUUGCUCCCGUGUUUCGAAGCCCGAAUGGCAUGGUUACAUAACAGUACAUCCCAAAAGGCGUGAUGAAAGAUGUUGCGAGCUGGUCGGAUUCUUUCAUUUUUAUUUGAUGGUAACCAGAGUACGCAUCAAGGAAAGAAAGGGUUUCACAUCCCACAGUAGAAUCAACAAUUUGAUCGAUACGUGGCAAUAGAAAAGGAACUUUCGGACAUGCUUUAUUUAAACUUGUAUAAUCAACACACAUCCUCAUUUUCCCAUUCUUUUUCUUAACUAGUACAGGGUUUGCUAACCAGUCGGGAUGGUGAACCUCCUUGAUGAAUCCGACCGCCAAAAGCUUGUGGAUCUCCUCACCAAUGAGCUUGCGUUUCUCCUCAUCGAAGCGACGCAACCGUUGUUUCACUGGCUUGGAACCGGCUCGAAUUUCCAAGGAGUGCUCGGCGACUUCCCUCGGUAUGCCUGGCAUGUCCGAGGGACUCCAUGCAAACAUAUCGGCGUUUGCACGGAGAAAGUCGACGAGCACGGCUUCCUAUUUGGGGUCGAGGUCGAUGCUGAUCGUCAGCACCUUGCCGUCGGAGUUGCUAGGGUCGAGCGGGAUCUUCUUCGUUCUUUCUGCCGGUUCAAAGCUGCCCGCGUGGCGCUUAGGCUCUAGAGCUUCUGCGGCCAGGGCUUCGAGCUUCGAGGUGAGCUCGGUGGAGCUCUCGACAGCUUCCCCGUACUCGACGCACUCGACAUCGCACUCGUACGCAUGCUCGUAGGAGGAGCUAACGGUGAUGAUCCCCUUGGUUUCGGGCAUCUUCACCUUUAGGUAGGUAUAGUUGGGGAUAGCCAUGAACUUGCGUAGCCAGGGCACCCGAUGAUGGUGUGGUACGUGCCUUGAAAUCCCACCACCUCAAAGGUGAGAGUCUCCUUUCUGAAAUUGGCUACUGUGCCAAAGCAGACCGGCAGGUCGAUUCGACCUACCGGCAGCGCCUUCUUUCCUGGUACGACACCAUGGAAUCCACCGGCGCUCGGUUGGAGCUGCGCCCUGUUGAUGCCGAGAAGGUCGAGGGUCUCGAGGUAGAUGAUGUUUAGGCUGCUACCGCCAUCCAUCAGUACCUUUGAAAGCCUGGCGUUGACGAUGAUGGGGUCGACGACGAGCAGGUAGACGCCAGGGGCGACUACCUUGUCGGGGUGGUCGUCUCGGUUGAAAGUGAUGGGGGUGUUUGACCAGUUGAGGUACUGAGGCACCGCCAUCCUUGCCGCAAAGACCUCGCGGCGUUCCCUCUUGCGCUGCCGUGCGGUUAGCUGCGUCGAGGGUCCGCCGUAGAUCAUGUAGCAGUCGUGGACAGUUGGGAACCCUUCGUCGUCUUUGUCGUCCCCCUUGUCGCUGCCCUUCUCUUUCUUUUGGUCGUCCUUUUUGAAUCCCAGGCUGUCGAAAUGUCUCUUCAACAUACGGCAGUCCUCGAGCUUGUGGUUUGCCCCUCCCUUAUGGUAAGGGCAGGGCUCCUUCAGCAUCUUGUCGAAGAUUGGUCCCUCAGGGGGGCCUCGAGGUCUUUUACGGUCCAUGGCGGCGACGAGGUCGUCGUCGUCGAGGGCCUCUCGCUGGAACGGCCAUGACUUCUUCUUCUUCUUGUUCUUCUUGGGUCCCCGAUUGGGACCCUCAUCGUCAUCAGCUGAAGAAGGCGCCAACCGCUUCUUCCCUUGCAGCGUAGUUUGCCACUACGUCCAUCAGCUCGUCGACGGUCUGAGGACGAUUUCGGCCUAACUCCCGCACCAGAUCUCGACUGGUGGUGCCUGAGACAAAGGCCAGGAUGACGUCGUGGUCCGGGAUGUGCGGCAGCUCGGUGCGCUGCUUUGAGAAGCGUCGAGCAUACUCUCGAAGAGUUUCUCCUGACUUCUGCUUGCACUUGCAGAGAUCCCACGAGUUGCCGGGUCGUAUGUAGGUCCCUUUGAAGUUGCCCUCGAACACUCUAACCAAAUCGACCCAAUCGUGGAUUUGAUUGGCCGGGAGUUCCUCGAGCCAUCUGCGGGCGGUUUCGGAGAGAAAGAGUGGCAACUGCCGGAUGAUGGCUCGAUCGUCCCCUCGAGCGCCACCAACUGGCAGGCUAACCGGAAAUCUGCCAACCACAGCUCUGGCUUGGUCUCGCCGUUGUAUUUAGCGAUGCUGUUUGGGGUCUAAACGGGCUGGGCAGCGGCGUGCUGUGGAUUGCUCUACUGAACACCCGAGGGCCCGGUGGUUCCGGAGCCAUCCGGUCUUCGUCGCUGUCGUAUCUCCCGCCGCGGUGGGCGCUGUAACCGCGCUCUUCUGCGUCCCCAUAUCAACGGCGACGAUUUUCGUUGAUGUCGCGUCGUGCGUCGUGUUGUCGCUGAUUGUCGACGGGGUGGUUGAGGACGAGUGCUGUCUUCUUCCCUCGAGGGGGCUACUGCUGAUGGACCGAUACCUCUUUUUUGUUCUGGGCCGGCUCAUCACGCUUUUUCGUGGCUGCUCCUCGACGUUGAGAGGCCGAGCUUUCGGCCUGCUGGACUGCCGCUACUUGGAGCAGAGUCUGCACCUCGUCUCGAAUGCGUCGCGCUUGAGAGUUCGACGGCUCGGGCAUAUUGCGUAGCAACAUUGUUGCCGCCACGACGUUCUGACCUGCUCGAGGAAAAUGGCUGACGGGUUGUUCGGGCUCCCCGUCUCCAACGAUCUGUCGAUGCACCUCUCGAGCCCAUCUGUGGACACUUCCGCCAGGUGGGCAUGGUUGGUCCUGCUCGAGGAUCUGUUCAAGUAGGACAAGGCGCUCGCGAUCUUCGUCGAGCUUUGCUUUGAGCUCUCGCAGCUGCGCAAGUUGCGUGGUUCUGUCUUCUUGUGGAGGGGGAUCGACCUGACCGUCAUUCCCAGGCAUCCUGGGGUCCUCCCUUGCUGCGGGGGCUCGACCGCCAGCAACGGCGUCUUGAGUCUCGUCGGUGGUUUCCACGCCCCCGUCGAUGUUGAAGCAUUCCCUAGUAGGGUCAUAGCUAUCGGAUUCCGAGUCGGAGUCCGGCUCGGUGGCGUAGAAGCAUCCGCGCCCUUCCUCCAACAGUCGUUGCCUGAGGGAGGUGAUUGUGUAUCGCCCAGGACCUAGGCGGCGGAGGCCUCGUACCUGAGAGAAAUCCGGCAGCUCGGGCGUCUGUUGCUGUGCUCGAGCGUCGCGCGGGAGGACCAUUGGUAUCUCCACGUACGUCUGGGCGUUUGGACAUAUCGUCCUGGCGAGUGACACUGCGCCGUUGUCCAGACCGAACGGCAGCGCUCUUCUUGGGGCGAACAGCCCGUGCGGAAGUAGCGUCGUGGCAGACGAGAGCGCGCAAGGCGCGCCGUCUCCCAUCGUCGUCAUGCGGUCCUCGUGGCGUCGGGCCGUCAUACCCGCGGUUUCGGCGCGUGGGGCUGCCGGCUCCUGCGUCACCUCCCGCCUGGCAUGGACUGGCGAUCGUGACGUGGCAGAGGGGUGAUGGUGGCGCUGACCACGCCUCUUCUUGGGCGGGGAGGCAUGGUGGCGAGGCCGUCUGGGGGCCCUUAAUCGGGCGGGUGCAACGCGAGCUCCUCCCGGUCCUUUGACCGAGAGUAGGAUCAUGUCAUAGCCGAAACCGGUGGACAUGAACUCAAGGCUCCCGAACCAAAUCACCGUGGAGCGCGGAAUCGGCAAAAUGGAGGUGGCCAUCUGGAAAGGAAUGGGAAAUCGGUGAAAAAACACGCAGGACCCCUACCUGGCGCGCCAACUGUCGGUGUUUUCCCCCUGGGGGUCACACCAACGAGUAAAACUUGUGUGCGUGCUCCCUCUUCCAAAUGGUGAUGCAAGAAAAGACACAAAGAUUUAUCCUGGUUCGGGCAAGAGAAGGCCCUACGUCCAGCGGGGGAGGAGAAUUUGUAUUAUCUUGCACCUAAGUGCUUGUACAGGGGUGAAUACAGGCGUGGAAUGAACUGAGGCGGAGUAGGGUCGCUCUACUACAUAUGACUUGUCUUGUGUCGCGUGUCCUGUAUCCGCUCCUGGACCUCCCCUUUUAUAGUCCCAAUGAGAGGUCUAGGGUACAUGUGUAGGCGACAGAGUAGGGGUCGAUAGAGGUAUGGUGCGCUGACCUACUUGAGGCCUCCGUACCGGCGUGGUCUCGAGCCGUCUUGUAUUGGUACUUUGAUGAUGAUUACGCGUGCCCCUGAAUCUUGCUUCUGUGCGCCGUCCUGGAUGGGUUAAUCUGUUGCACGCUUGUACGUUGUGGUUACAGCUACGUCGGAGUGGUUGAGGUGUUGUCAUUCGUCGCCCGACCCUUCCCCUGGAAGGAAACACGCCUACUCGAGGGUCAGGUGCCGUGUAACGCUUCGCUGGCCAGAGCGUUGACCUUGGACGUCUCGAGAGGGGUCUUGACUGGACGUUCCGACCCACUCCCUGCGCCCUGCUACGCUCUGGCUUGUUUGGCGGGGAAGGCUGCAAAAAGAACGACAGGACGGAUGCUUGUUCCCUAUCAUGCUUCCCGUGACUAACGGGUUAGGUGAGAAUGCGCCAGGCGCAUUAAAUGCCCUAGUUCCCGUGCCUGCGUCAGGCGGUCGGCGGCGUCCUUGCGCUCGAGGCCUCCCGACUCGUACGAGCUUGUUUCCGUAUUCGACGGUAGCCGGCUCUCGAGCCCUGGUCGAUUCGCAGGACACUCUUUCCGUGUUCGUGGCUACGGCUGUCGAGGGCCGUGCGUACAACUGGGCGUCGAGUUGGAGGCCUCGACUUUCGUACGGAUGCUCUCGAUAUGCAUAUCAGUUUGGGUACCCCUUACUGAUAUCCUCGACAAAUAAAUUAUACAUCCUAUUGCAACACUAGUAUCUAUUAUUUCAUUAGUAUUUAAUAACUUUUUUGAGAGGUAGUAUUUAAUAACUUGGAUACUUCUUCAUCCAAAAAAGAUCCAAUUAUCAGCUUUUCAGAAAUCAAACGAUUUAAAGUUUGAUCAACGUUAUAUAAAAAUACUAAUAAUUAUAAUACAAAAUAAUUAUCAUUUAAUUUAUUAUGACAUAUAUUUUUAUAGUAAACAAAAUAGAAACAAUAAAAGUUAAUAUUAUUUAUUAUAAACUUUGUUAAAAUUAAAUUAGUUUAACUUGCAUAAAUAUAGUUGCACUCUUUGCAUGGGCCGAGAGAGCAUUCUAACUUCUAACUGCACUUUUGCACAAAAUUAAUAUAUGACUGCACGUUCAAAGUUACACGGGAAGACUCUAGUCCAUCUACUACUACCUAGAAAAUAACUAACGUAAUUAUUUGCGCCCUGCCUCUGCUCCGCCCCACGGUAAAAAAACAUCAGUAAAAAACAUAUACAUCGCCCUCUUAAAAAAACAAACUGUGUCAAGUCCCUGUUUUUUGUUGGCAAGCAAAAUAGAAGAGAAUGAAGGGUUCUAAGUGAAAAAGUGCAAGAGAAAAAGAAAAGAUGGAAGGAUCUAAAUUGGAUUCGAAAAACUCAGAGAUUCAUAAUAUAAAAGUUCAAUCCAAGUUACGCCUCCAACUGGGAAUCGGAUCGGCUGACUUCAGUGCCAGCGAUGGCUGGCUGCAGUCGCCGGAAUCGGUCCGUCCACUCCCAUCCCGACGGCUGCAAGGAGACGGCCUGCUACUAUGGUCCUCGGCUAACGAAGAGACGGUCUGGUUGUGUCUUUUUUUCCAUUCGAUGCAGAGCUGUUUAUUUGGCGCGGCCCCAGGCUUUUUUGUGUUGGAGCCAAGAAUCAUCAGGAACUCUGGAACGUCGCUGCACACCACCGUGGUGACCGCGGCGAGAUCUAGAUUAGGUGAAAACAAGUUCACGUGAGAAGACAAGAUAUUGCGGCGCUGCCAACAUUGCAGCCCCUCGGUCUUUAUUCAUGUUUAUAUAGAACACAGCAGGCCCAACUGAGCCCGUCCCGCGCCAUGCCAUAUCGAGUACGCUACACCGUUUCCUAGCAGUGCACGUCUCAUGCGCUCGGCACACCAUGACGCGGACACGACCGACUCUUCUAAGCUGUGUCAUGAUCAGGCACAACACCAAUCAUGCACAGCCCCUUACCGACUAUUACAUAACUCAACUGAAACGAAAGAUUACAAGACUCUGCAUCAAUUUAGCUAACAAAUCACCCCCUAAACUUGAUGCACAUCGACGACACCUAGAGCACUCCACAGUUCUAUGAACCUGACUCUCCCCAAUGACUUGGUGAAUAUGUCGGCGAGCUGGCCUGCAGUCCCAACAUGAUCAACCUCCACCACGCCACCCUCUAUGCAUUCACGAAGAAAAUGAUACUUAGUAUCUAUAUGCUUACUUCGUUCAUGAUGCACUGGAUUUUUACUGAGAGCAAUCGCGGACAUGUUGUCCAUGAGCCGCUUCACUGUCGCCUCCUUCGUCCCCACCAUAUCUGCAAUUAAUCGGCUUAGCCAAAUGCCUUGGCAUGCUGCUGCUGCUGCAACGUUCUCAGCUUCACAGGAUGAGAGAGCUACAAUCUUCUGUUUCUGAGAUGACCAUGUCACCAGACUCCUGCCAAGGAAAUAUACAACACCCGUUGUACUCUUUCUAUCCUCAACAUCUCCUGCAUAGUCACUAUCACUGUAGCCUAGCAGGAAAGCUUGCUCUUCUCCUCCCUUUCUGUACUUGCAACCAUACCCGACAAUACCUUUCAAAUACCUGAGUAUUCUUUUUACAGCAUCCCAGUGUUCUCUUCCUAGUGCCUCCAUGUACCUACUGACAACUCCGACGGCAUAUGCUAGAUCUGGUCUCGAGUUGACAAUGUACCUCAGGCUACCAAUUAGGCUCCUAUAUGCAGUUGGAUUCACAACAUCUUCACCUUCCUUCUUCUUGCUUAGCUUCAACCUGCACUCCAUUGGGGUAUCACAAGGGCUGCAGUUCUUCAUCCCUGCAUUUUCGAGAAUCUUUAGUGCAUACGCACUCUGACUCAAUGCGAUCUCACCACUUCCUUGCUUCACCUCGAUCCCCAAAUAAUAGCUCAAGAGUCCCAAGUCGCUCAUGCUGAAUUUUUCUUUCAUCUCGGACUUGAACCUUUUGAUAUCUUCAACAUUUGGUCCAGAGAUUAUUAAAUCAUCAACAUACACACCAACUAGAAGAAAUGAAUUUCUGUUGUUCCUUCUGUAAACUGCAUGUCCAACUUGCUUCUCACAAAACCGAGAGCAAUCAAUUCCUUGUCAAGCUUUGAGUUCCAUGCUCGAGGUGCUUGUCGUAAGCCAUAUAGUGCCUUCUUCAAUCUAAGCACCUCGAAACCUGGAGGUUGUUGCACAUAGACUAUUUCAGUCAGAUCACCAUUUAAAAAUGCUGACUUUACAUCCAUAUGAUGGACUUCCCAGCCACCAUGUGCUGCUAGUGCCAACAACACUCUUACUGUCUCUAUUCUGGCAACAGGGGCAUAAACAUCAUCGAAGUCUAUUCCUUGACGCUGAGCAUAAACUUUAACCACCAACCGAGCUUUGUGCUUGACAAUAUUCCCAUCUGGGUCUUUCUUAACCUUGAAAACCCAUUUGAGCCCAAUGGCUUUCUGUUUUGGAGGGAGAUCAGUGACAACCCAUGUCCUGUUGUCAGCAAUUGCCCUCAUCUCCUCUUCCAUAGCCUUCUUCCAGCAACUUUCAGAUAAUGCCUCUUCAAUAGUCUUGGGUUCUUCAGCUGCAACCAAGCAUAUUCCACUAUACUCGAACCCAUGUACCUCAUCAGUUGUGUCCAGGAGAUCUGUCAUAGUCCUAUACCUCAGUGGAGCACCAUCUGAAUCUUUAGAAGCAUUGGUGUGUGGUGUUGACCACUGUAUAAUCUGAUGUGGUGGUGUAUCUAGAGAUGAGUCACCCCCAGUACUUGGAAUUGAUGCUGCAGGCGACGCCGGUUCCACCUCAACAGGUUCUAAAAAUGCGUCGUCAUCUGCAUCUGUCCCUAUUGUCGGACCGGAAAUAGAGUCGUCAAGACUCUGAACCUGAAACGCAUCAGGCACCACCGCUGCCUUGUCAUCACGCAGCCUGCUAGCGUUCCCGUCCCAAUUCCAAGCGGUCUUCUCAUCGAAUAUCACAUCUCGGCUCACCAAUAACUUGCUUGUUGCUGGACUGUAGACACGAAACCCCUUUAUCCCUGAUUCAUAACCCAGGAACACUCCUGGGAUAAAGCGAUCCGACAAUUUACUGAUGCCAGAGCCAACACGCUUUACAUAAGCAGUGCACCCAAAUGUACGUAGAUGCUUGACUACUGGCUUUCUUCCAUACCACAUCUCAUACGGAGUUCUGCCAUCCAAGCAUUUUGUCGGCGUUAACAGAUAUACCGCCACCUGGACCGCCUCUCCCCAAAACUGUGCUGGAACAUGCAUGCUUUUGAGCAAACACCACGCCAUCUCUACCACUGUCUGAUUACGCCUUUCAACUACGCCAUUUUGUUGUGGCGUAUAAGGUGUCGUGGUAUUACGCUUUAUUCCAUGCUCAUGACAAAACGAGCUGAACGCACCAGAGUUGAACUCCCCACCACGAUCUGAUCUAAAUGCCUUCAGCCUGUUUCCUGAUUCGAGCUCAACUGCAGCUCUGAACUUCUUGAAGUACAUCAAGGCUUGAUCCUUAGUUGCCAUCAGAUCGAUCCACAUAUAACGGUUGUGGUCAUCAACAAUGAGGAGGAAGAAGGACUUCCCACCACGUGUUGGUGGUGACACUUGUCCACAUAGGUCAGCGUGCACCAGUUCAAGUCUUGUGGACGCACGAUAUGCUGAAGUCUUGGGAAAUGGAGUUCUAUGUUGUUUUCCCGAUGCACAACCAUCGCAAACUUGCUCGACACGUCGAAUCACCAGCAUCCCCUCCACCAUCACUUUUGCACCAAGAUCGUGCAAAGCUCUGAAAUUCAGAUGUCCGUAUCGCGCGUGCCAAAGCCACGCAACAUCAUCCAUGCUGGACAGAAGACAGACAGGUGUGGUAAGCUUUACCUUCAGUAAAUACAGAUGAUUUCUUCGCUCCGCUUUGAUCAGCACACCCCGCUUCAGCUGCCCAACCUGUCGACGCUCAAAGACUUGCAUGAUGCUGUCAUCAAUCUCAACACGACAUCCCCCUUCUUCGAGCUGACCAAGACUGAUUAUGUUGCACUUGAGGGACGGUAUGUAAUAUACUUCUGAAAGCACCCGAUGAUCAUGCACUCUGCCAGCGAUUGUGACAGCACCAAUCCCACAGAUCUCCACUUUUGAUCCAUCACCAAAACGCACCGCUCCAUGUACUGACUCAUCAAGAUUCGUCAGCGAUUCUCGACUGCCCGUCAUGUGGUAUGUAGCUCCUGUAUCCAACACCCACGAUCCCUCUUCAUAGUUUGAUGGUAUGACUCGUUCCUAGUUCAGGAACACUCGUGGUGUUGUGCUGUCAGUACUUCGCACCAGAUUACAAACCUGUGACACCAUGAGGGCCGGCUGUGGAUCAGCAUCUAUGUUUGCAUGAUGUACAGCCUCGGUUGCUUCCUUUCCUCCCUUCUUGCACUCUCUGGCCCAAUGGCCAUAAACUUUGCAUUUGUUGCAGCGUCCAUUGCGAUGGGGAGUACUCAUCGAUGUAUACUCCUUCUUCCUAGUGUCACGGGAAUCAUGGUUUCCACCACCGCCGUUGCCCCGUCCGACGGGCUUAUUCUUCUUAGGAUAGUGACCGCUGCCACCACCCUUCGACCCCGACGAUCCUGACGAGUCACCGCUGACGCGGUUUUUCUGUUUGGCGCCCCACUCCUCCUCUGUCAGUAAGAGUUGGCCUGCCUUGUUGGUUACUUCCUCAGUAGAGAGCUCAAAGCGAUCUUUGGCCGCACGAAGACGUCCGACUAGCUCCUCCAUCGAUAAUGUCUUCAAGUCACAAAACAUCUCGAUUGUGACUGCUACUUGGUUGUACCGAGCAGGCACAACCCUGAGGAAUUUCUUCACAACUCGGGCAUCAGUAACACUAGUUUCACCAAGUCCCUUCAGAUCAGUUACAAGUUUCCCAAUCCGGACUGCAAAGUCUUCGAUCGAUUCACCAGAUUUGAAUGAAAUCGAUUCAAACUCGGCGAGUAACUUCUGUGCAUUCACCUCCUUGACCCUCUCUGCUCCUAGACGCAUUGACUUGAUUGCCUCCCAUGCCUCCUUUGCUGACUUUUUACUCAGCAACAUUGAGUGCAUCUCAGGGGGCACCCCUCGGAUCAUGGCGCCCAGCGCGAGCCUAUCACGGCGUCGCUCCACCUUAUCCGAUUCAACCGCGUCCCACAAAUACAUGGCUUCAAGAUUACACUGCACAUGAGCUGACCAUUCCUGGUAAUUAGAUCGGGACAACGUUGGCCACACAAGAUUGCCAGAGGCCUGGUUCCAUGCCCUCUCCAUUACCUCUUUGUCCUUCUCACCGCUAGUGGCCAUGACGAUGGCGUUCUCAACAACUUCUUCUUGGUCAAGCGAUCUGAACUUCUCUUCUACCUCUGUCGCCUCUCCCUGCCGCGGUACGCCUCCUUCUCCGUCAAUCCUCGCUCCGAUACCAAUUGUUGGAGCCAAGAAUCAUCAGAAACUCUGGAACGUCGCUGCACACCACCGUGGUGACCGUGGCGAGAUCUAGAUUAGGCGAAAACAAGUUCACGCGAGAAGACAAGAUAUUGCGGCGCUGCCAACAUUGCAGCCCCUCGGUCUUUAUUCAUGUUUAUAUAGAACACAGCAGGCCCAACCGUGCCCGUCCCGCGCCAUGCCAUAUCGAGUACGCUACACCGUUUCCUAGCAGUGCACGUCUCAUGCGCUCGGCACGCCAUGACGCAGACACGACCGACUCUUCUAAGCUGUGUCAUGAUCAGGCACGACACCAAUCAUGCACAGCCCCUUACCGACUAUUACAUAACUCAACUGAAACGAAAGAUUACAAGACUCUGCAUCAAUUUAGCUAACAUUUUGGCGCCAGGUUACGACACUUGCUCGUGUUUUUAGUGGGACCUGCCAGGGGAAGGUACAGGGAGAUUUCUCGUCAUCGCGUCCUGCGUGCUCAAGUGCCGGCCGGCCAUCGUCUUAUUGCUGUGCAUCCUCACGCGUGUGCUCAGGUACCCAGGUGCUCAGAUUCCAGAUUCCAUUUUACUCUGAUUUGGUUUCUUUUGUCCUCCCUAGUGAUUCAUUCUAUUAUUUAGGGUUUGAUUUAAUGGAAGAUCUGCAUCAUUGAGAUGGAAAAUCUGCAUCAAAACUAAAUCUGAAUAUUCAAGAUGGAAGAGAAAAGGUGUGUUACACCAUGACUAUUCCUUUUUAUCCAUGAGAUCUGAUAGUUCUUAAGAUUUGUACUUAGCAUCACAUAUAGUAUCUUCUGUAAUCAUUAAUUUUUAUUUGUAGAGAGUGUUUCAUUCCUGAUGCGUUACCUCAAGUUGACAUCAAUACAUUAUCUCAAUUGUUUCUCCAAACCAUGUCAUUUGCAGGGGGCAAUCACAGAUGAUGUUAUUGCUGAUUUCUAGUAGUAUGGACAUUUGCUUUUGGAGAAGAGCUUUUGGACUGGUGGUGAUGCUUUGCAAAUUGAUGUCCUUUUAGACCAUAUGAGAAUUAUGUAGCUUUUGGUUUUAUGGUUAAAUUGUAAUGUUCGGUCAGGAUAUAUUUUGUGUAGCUUCAUAUGCACUUGAACAUCUAUGUAGACUCUGAACUUAAUCAACAAUGCCUUGUGAUGGCCUCACUGACAUAUAUAUGGCACAGGUAUUCUGGGAACCAACUGAUGGCCAAUAUGCAUAACCCAAUUAUGGGAAUUUUCAUUCAUUAAAUCAGAACCAUAUAUUUAUCCAUUUCGAUUCUGGAAACAUACAGGCUGUAACACCCUAAAAAUUUAUUUUCGAAUUAGUAUUCAAUUUGGCACAAUUAUAUGAAUUAUCUGAGAAUUAUUUAGGCAAAAUAACAAUUUUUGGAAUUAUUUAAAAUAAACCAUAAGAUUUAGAAACAUGAAAUGCUGCAUUCAUGCUGGUGCAUAAUAUUUUUGAUUGAUUGUAAGCUAGGUUGUUUGGUUUAAAAAUCAAAUUGAAAGGGAUUUAUACAAAUAUAUAGUUCUGGAAAAUAUAAAAGAAUUUUCUCCUAUUCUUAUUUCUCUUCACCAAAUCUGGCCCAGCCCCUAAACCCUGGCCGGCCUGAACCCCGCGCCCACCUCUGGCCUUGGGCCGUGGCGGCCCAGCACCCCGCCCCUCGCCCGCGACGCGCGCGCACGCGGCCCAGUGGCGCGGCCCGCUCCGCGCGGUCAGCCCGCGCGUCCUCCCCCUCUCCCCCUCUCACUGCGCGGUGGGUCCCGGCUGUCGGCGCUCACCCUUCCCCCUCUCUCUCGCUGCACUGUGGGGUCCGCACGUCAGCGUCUUCCCCCUUCUUCUCCACCGAGCCGGGAGCACCGCUAGGGGCAUUCAUCCCCCUUCAAACGCCGAUUGAUGGAGGCCAUCAAUCGGGGCUCCAUCAAGCCGCCUUGACGCCGGGAGUUAACGCCCGCAUGCGCGCUCCCUCAAUGCCCUGCUCGCCCUAUAAAACCCCAGGCCGAGCCCCCCCUUGCUGCCCUAGCCACCACCGGAGCUCGGAGUCGAUCCCCCACCUCGGUUUCCCAUUGCUCGAGCGACCCAGAGCCAGGAGAUCGUCUCGGGAGUUUGGUUGAGACUCGCCGCGACCGUAGGCAUCGAUUUCAUCCUUGUUUUGAUCUUGUAUGCCACGAAUUUGAGCUCACCGUUGCCCUUUUCUUCCCCAGACCGCCGCGCUCGUGGCCACACUGCUCGGAGCACCUUCGGACGCAGCGAGCAUCUCCAUCGGAACCACGGUACUUCUACGAUACUCCCCGUGCUUUCAAUUUUGAACUAGAGCGCUAGACCACCGAGCCCGAGGCUCGCCGAGGCCGCGGAAGUGACACCACCGCGGGGCCGUCGUCCCGACGUGCUCCCCGCCCCUUCUUUGUGCUCUAUCGAGUUCGCCUCGUCGCGUAGAUCAUUUCGGUAACUUUAGUUUGGUUUGGAGUGGCCGAGAACGAGUUUCCGGUGAGCUCCGAGGAGCUCACCUCGUCGGCGACAAUGGCGCCGCCGUGCUCGGCCUCGGCCAGGCGAGCACCCCGCCUCCCUCCUUCCUGAGCCGCCCGAUUAGAUCCCAACGGUCCAGAUUACAUACCCCUUCGGGGUUAUGUAACCGGUCCACCGUGGACCCGUGGGCGCGGUCCACGACACUCGGCCGGCCGGUCCACGCGCACAGUGGUGGACCGAGCCAAUCCCCGCACGCCACGUGGCCCCCUGUCGGUCAGCGACGCGGUCAGCCGCGGGCCGCUGAAGUUUUUGCAGUUUAACCCCCCUGUUUCAAGCAAAUCAACCCGCGGUCCAAUCCAGUUCAAAAGUAUUUCUUUUUAAUCCUGUUUUGUUUCGUUUUGAGCCCUGUACUUUUAAAUAAUAGUGCGCGCAGUCCAGACCCGUUAGAAAGUCAGUUUUAAUUCUUUUAAAUUCAUUUUUGGAUUCAGUUUAUUCACAGAAAUGCCAUUCAUUUUGUUUUAUGCAUAACUUUCACGUUUUAAAUCCGAUUAGAGUGAUUCUUUCGCUCAUGUGUUCGUAGAAAUGCGUAGAGUAGAUUUAAAUACUUUUCAGUCACUGUUUUCACUAUUUGAUGUACUGUUCUAAUAGAACUCUAUUUGUAUGCAUGUGAUGAUUGGAAUGGAUGAUUGAUUGGUGUUUGGAUCACGAAUAGAAGGAGAUCAGGUUGGAGUGGUUGAGGAGCAGUUUGUGGAGCUCUACCAGGAAGAAACUUUUGAGGAAGGCAAGUGUAAUAUAGGCUUCCUUGUACCUAUGAAUAUUACUUAAAUCAUACAUAUGCAUGUGUCUAAAUUGGAAAUACCUAUAAGGACUUUACCUAGAUAAAUUUUGUACCACAAAUCCUUGUUACCCAUGGGAAGGUGUGCAUCUAUGUAGGUAGUUGCUUGCUAUGCUCAAAACUCAAGUUAAUAAAUUAAUCUGAUUAAAUUGGUGUAUGCAACAUGAUAAAAUAUGUACUAGUACCUUGGUUCAGGGGGCUAGAGCUUGGGUUUGAAAGCUCUAGAUUCCUCUCCAUAAGGACUUAAUCCUGAAGCGGCCACCCAGGAGGACACGUACAAUCCCGAGAGUCAAAUGGCUCUGACCUUAAUCAUAUAACUAGUAUGUCUCUAGCAAUUUAGUAGUUACCGAAAGGCGCUAGAGGGGGGUGCCUCGUGGUGUAUAGAUGUCACUCCUACCUUGGUGUGUACAGUGCCGCGACCACAUGUGCCUCUUGAAGGAGGUCGUCUAUGCACACUUGCCACUGAAACCUCGCGGCUACUAUUUUGUUAGGGUGACUAGUGAAAGGUUACGUAGUGGGACCCGGUCACACUUCCUCGGUAGAAGUGGUGUGGGCCUUGCAAACCCCAACACUAGGGAACCACGGCUCGGGGGUAAAGUUGUACAAUUUCUGCAGAAAUCUAAAACCUGUUAUAACAGCCGAGCUCUCGGUCAUGAGCGGCCUGGAUCCUUCUUGGUUAGCGGUUACUUGGUUAUAUUUGGGGAUUAUAAUAACUUUGAUUAAUUCAUAUGUAACCAGGGUUGGACAUUCACUAAAAGUAGUAAGUCUUGGUAAAUAAAAUAUGACCAACUAAAAUGCUAACCGCUGUUAAACCGAGUCAAGCCUUUGAGCCUUCAUAUACCCCUAUGUUAUACUUGCUAAGCAUGGUGCGCUUACACUUGUUUAUAUUUCAAUGAAAAUCCCGGAUGGGUAACAGAUGUGUGUACUGAGGAGUUCCCUGAAGAUGUCCAGGACUUCUAGAGAGCUGGUGUUCACCAGUUGGUGUCCCUGUGGCAACAAGGGCUUAGCUUCCCGUUUUAUGUAAUAAUGUUGCUAUGAGCAAGACUUUGUGAGAUAUUUAAGUUGAAUAAGCGAUGUAAUAAAGUACUUUACUUUGAUAUAUUUACAAUUUGUGAUAAUAUGUGUGUUUGGACAUCCUGGGCGCACAUAUUUGAGUACUUGGUUUUGUUAUCAAAACUGGGUGCGACAAAUUGGUAUCAAAGCUUAGCCUGACUGUAGGACGAUCAGCCUAGUUAGAAAUGGACGUUUUUAGGGUCUUGAGCACUUAUUUUACUAAUUAUUUUCUUAUAAAAUUAAUGCUUAUAACUUGCCUAAUAUCUAUUGAGAAAAUUAUUUUAUUCUAAUCCUCAUACAUUUUCUUAUAGAUGGCCCGUACCAAGUGGACAGCUCGCAAACGUGUCAUCAUGCCCAACAAGAGGACAAGGUUCACUCUAGGCAAGCGUGUUCCCCCGCAUCUGGUUGAAGCGCUGAGGGACAUGGAGGAGGAUCCACAAGAGGAACAAACCAUGGAUGUACCCAUGGAUGAGGAUGCUGAGGAGGAAGUCAUGAUAGAGGAACCAGUUGAGGACGAGGAAACCGAAGAGGAGCCCAUGGAGCAAGAUGAACAAGAGGGAGCUGGUGAUCCAGAUGAUGAAGAUAGUUCUGACAGCUCUGACUCAAGCGACCAUGGCAGUGGUGGUGAUGAUGGAGAUGGUGGUGGAGAUAGCCAAGAUCACCAUGCUGCGCUUCUGGCAAAGGGAUGGACAGUGGUGAUCCAUUUCGACUUGCAUGGUGACGCCUACUACCAUCCGAAGCUUCUUACUCUCGCACGUCGUUUCCAUGCCCGGUGUACUGUGCAGUACCGCACCGAGCAUUGGACUCACCCCGACUACAUCGGCUUCUGGGAGACUGAAGCUUACAUCCGAGAAGGAAGUCGGGUGUGCCACAUCCACCGUGCGAUCACCGCCAGGACUACCCGCGCAGCAGCUAUCCGGGACGCUGCCCGGCAGGCCUUGGUGGUGAACCGCGACCGCCACUUUGCUGACAUUGCAUGGGAAGAAGAUCGCUAUCUACCCCGCCGGCGGAGUGGUCAGACAAUCUGCAACAUCGCUGCACCACUUGUAGCAGGGAAUCCCAGAAUCCGACCCACCCUGGCAUGCUUGGCUCAAACCAACACAGACUUGGAUCGAGUCUCAGAUGAGCUAGAUGCCCUGAGGAAGGCCUACCUUGAGUUGGCUGUCGAGAACUCCAUGUUAAAGCAACAGCAGGGGAAUCAUGUUGAAGAAGUACCACUCAUCCUCGCGGAGUCACCCCUAAGGAACCACGAGGACCCCAACACCGGCACCAACCUUGACCCAUAGGAGGUUUCCCCAUUUGUAAUAAACACGCAUAGAGAUGCGAGAGCGUGUUCUUAUUUUCUACUGAUUGAACAAUUGCUACUUCGUGAAUACAUGCUUGUAAUAAUGCUUAAUGGAUGAGUUGGAUUUUUGUCAUGAUUGCAAUGAUUGUGGGCCUGUCCACAGUCAUUUAGAAUAGGGCUAAGGUCUAAGGAUAAUAUGAAUAAAUAGUUGGGUUUUACUUAUAUCUUGCUGUCUACCCAUGUUUUUCCCUCUGAGCAGUCCGCUUUAAAAAUUGUAUAUCUCGAGUUCUGGAUGGACUAAAAAUACAAAAAAACUUUAUGGAAUAAAAUAGAUUUCUAUAUCUUUCUUUUGGCUCUGGGAUCACCUCAAUAUCUGUUACCGUUUGAGAGAUAAAAUUUCCACAAGCUGACCUCUCUGCGCAGUCUGAAAACUUCAGAACAGUAAAACUUGUUCCUUGUUCUUACCUAUGUAAACGCCAGAAUUUGAGGAAGUGAUCUGAAUGAAAGUUGUAGGAAAAUUUCCAAGCUUUCCAGAAAGUUAAAUUUCGCAGCGAGAUGUUAAACAGAAAGAAAGUUAUGCUUGUUUUACUUCGCUAUAGCUUUAGUAAGAACAGCAGAAAAAUGCAGAAUGCAUACCACAUCGUACUCACAACAUAUGUAAUCCCAUACUUGAUCAGAUGGUGAUAAUUCCAGCAUAUUAUAUCUCUUGAAAAUUAAAUAUCUUGGAUAUAUGAGACUCAUAUUAUGCAUCUGGUACAGAUGGCCAACACUAGGAGGAACAGGAGGGGUGAGGAUGUGCCACCACCACCACCACCUCCUACUAUGGAGCAACUGAUGAUGAUGCAAACACAACUGCUGCAGCAACUGGCCCAAAAUAUGCAGAACAAUGGAAAUGGUAAUGGAAAUGCACCUCCUCAUGUUAGGGACAAGAGAGGAGAAUUCUUGAAGGGACAUCCACCUGUUUUCAAACACUCCACCGACCCUCUCGAAGCGGAUGACUGGCUUCGUGCGAUCGAAAGACAACUGGAGAUUGCACAGUGUGAUGACAGAGAGAAAGUGUUGUAUGCGGCAGGGCAAUUGCAAGGAGCUGCCCUUGAUUGGUGGGAUUCAUUUCGUUUUGGUCGUGCGGAUGCUGAUCCCAUAACUUGGAUGGAAUUCCGUAAUGCUUUCCGCUCUCAUCAUGUCCCUGCCGGACUGAUGAAACUGAAGAAGAAAGAAUUUCUCUCCCUCAAGCAAGGAAGUAUGUCUGUUGCUGAAUAUCGUGACAAGUUCAUACAAUUGUCACGAUAUGCUCCCACAGAGGUGGAGAACGAUGAAAAGAGACAGGAAUUAUUCAUGGAAGGGUUGAAUGAUGGGCUCCAAUACCAGCUGCUAUCCCACACUUUUGCAAGCUUUCAGUAUCUGGUGGACAAGGCCUUGGUGAUUGAGAACAAACGCCGCCAAAUGGAAGAUAAAAAGAGGAAGUUCCAGGGGCAACAGUCAGGAAACAACACGCGUACUCGUACCAAUCCUCCGCAAGCUUAUCCUCAGCAACGCUAUCAAGGUCAGUCAAGCCUGGUCAAUCGUAAUCCGCAGCCACAACGUGCACAGCAGCAGCAGCAGCAGUACCGAGCUCCUAACCUACGUCAGCAGCCAGUUAAUAAUGCUCCUGUAAAGACAAACGUUCCCAAUGCUCCACCAAAGAAUGGCGCACCAAAAGCACCAAAUGCCAACAAUGACAACAAAUGUUACAGCUGUGGUGAGCCGGGACACUACUCCAAUAGGUGCCCCAAGAAGAUGGCCCAGAACAAUAUCAGAGGAAGAGUAAAUCAUGUGACAGCCGAGGCGGCACAGGAGGCACCGGACGUGAUGCUCGGUAUGUUUCCAGUCAACUCAAGCCCCGCUACAGUUUUAUUCGAUUCCGGUGCAUCACAUUCCUUUAUUGCUCAGUCUUUUGUCAAGAAAUAUGAUAUACCCAUGAUUGCUAUGAAAAACUCCAUGAUAGUUAGCUCACCUGGAGCAGAAAUGCAAGCUACCCUUAGAUGCCCUCUAGUGAACAUCACCUUAAGGGGGGUAGAGUUUACAGUUAGCCCGGUGGUUUUGAAAACUUCUGGCAUUGAUGUUAUCUUGGGUAUGGAAUGGUUGAAACAGAGAAAAGCAGUUAUACAAUGUGAUAGCAAAACAGUUCAGUUAAUGACACCUUCAGGCCAACAAAUUGAGGUAGAGGUUAGCAUGUCGGCUAAGCAAUAUUACACAGUUAAUCAGCUGAAGGGGACAUCCAUAGAGGACAUACGGAUAGUGAAUGAGUAUCCGGACGUAUUCCCUGAGGAACUGCCAGGUAUGCCACCUGACCGUGACAUUGAGUUUAUAAUUGAACUUUUACCUGGAACUGCACCCAUAGCUAAAAGACCAUAUAGAAUGGGUGUGAAUGAGUUAGCAGAACUUAAGAAGCAAUUAAGAGAGUUGCUAGAUAAGGGUUAUGUUCAACCAAGUUCCUCACCUUGGGGAGCACCAGUGUUAUUCGUAGAAAAGAAAGAUGGUACACAAAGAAUGUGUAUAGACUACAGAUCACUUAAUGAGGUCACAAUUAAGAACAAGUAUCCACUCCCUAGGAUUGAUGACCUGUUUGACCAGUUGAAAGGAGCCUGUGUGUUUUCUAAGAUAGACCUUCGGUCUGGUUAUCAUCAGUUAAGGAUAAGACGAUCUGAUAUCCCUAAAACUACUUUUGUGACUCGAUACGGACUAUAUGAGUUUACAGUUAUGUCCUUUGGGUUGACAAAUGCACCUGCCUACUUUAUGUAUUUGAUGAACAAAGUAUUCAUGGAAUACCUUGACAAGUUCGUGGUUGUGUUCAUAGAUGACAUACUUGUUUUCUCUAAAAAUGAGAUAGAACAUGAGAAACACUUGAGAUUGGUGCUACAAAAGCUUAGAGAACAUCAACUCUAUGCUAAGCUUAGUAAAUGUGAAUUUUGGUUAAAAGAGGUAUCUUUCCUUGGGCACAUCAUCUCUAACGGAGGGGUAGCAGUGGACCCAAAAAAGGUCCAGGAUGUGUUAAGCUGGAAACCACCCAAAGAUGUGAGUGAAAUUAGAAGUUUCCUUGGAAUGGCCGGGUACUAUAGAAGAUUUAUUGAGGGUUUCUCAAAGCUAGCCAAACCAAUGACCGCUCUGCUAGAAAAGAAUGCUAAAUUUAUAUGGUCCAAAGAGUGUCAAGCCAGUUUUGAAGAGUUGAAAAAGAGACUGACUUCUGCCCCCGUACUCAUCUUACCUGACAUCACUAAGAGUUUCUCUAUCUACUGUGAUGCCUCUCGGCAAGGUCUUGGUUGUGUACUCAUGCAAGAGGGCAGAGUGGUGGCCUAUGCCUCUAGACAGUUAAGGAAACACGAGUUGAACUACCCGACCCAUGAUUUGGAGUUAGCGGCCGUGGUGCACGCUCUAAAAAUAUGGAGACACUAUCUAAUCGGUCAUAAAUGUGAGAUUUAUACAGAUCAUAAGAGUUUAAAAUAUAUCUUCACCCAGUCUGAUUUGAACUUAAGACAACGAAGAUGGUUGGAACUGAUUAAGGACUACGACCUGGAGGUACACUAUCACCCGGGUAAAGCUAAUGUAGUGGCAGAUGCCCUGAGUAGAAAGAGCUAUGUUAAUAUGGCUUAUGUGACUCAAUUACCUAGGGAGUUGUGCGAAGAGUUUGAACAUCUGAACCUGAGUAUAGUGGCUAAUACUAUGGAGUUGGAGGUGGAACCUACACUAGAAUGAGAUAUCCGUAAAGGACAAUUGGAAGAUGAGAAAAUUAAAGAUAUCGCGGGACGGAUAGUGAUUGGUAAGGCACCAGGAUUCCACAUGGAUGAUCAAGGAACAGUAUGGUUCGGUAAGAGGAUUUGUGUACCCGAGAUAAAGUCUAUUAGAGAGGCUAUCUUGAGAGAAGCUCAUGACUCCGCUUAUUCUAUACACCCGGGUAGUACUAAAAUGUACCUCGACUUAAAAGAAAGAUAUUGGUGGUAUGGCUUGAAAAGAGAUGUGGCAGAAUAUGUGGCUAUAUGUGAUACCUGCCAAAGAGUAAAAGCAGAACAUCAGAGACCAGCAGGAUUACUUCAACCCAUGAAAAUACCUGAGUGGAAGUGGGAGGAAGUUGGGAUGGACUUUAUAGUGGGACUACCUCGGACACAGAAAGGAUACGAUUCUAUUUGGGUUAUUGUAGAUCGAUUGACCAAGGUAGCUCACUUCAUCCCUGUCAAGACUACCUAUUCCGGGGCAAAGUUGGCAGAAUUAUACAUGGAAAGGAUUGUGUGUUUACAUGGGGUGCCAAAGAAAAUCGUUUCUGAUAGAGGGACACAGUUUACAUCACACUUUUGGCAGAAGCUACAUGAGUCCAUGGAUACCAAAUUGAAUUUUAGUUCGGCCUACCAUCCUCAAACAGAUGGACAGACAGAAAGAACAAACCAGAUACUAGAAGAUAUGUUGAGAGCUUGUGCCCUGCAGUACGGGACAAGUUGGGACAAAAGUUUACCCUACGCAGAGUUCUCCUAUAAUAAUAGUUAUCAGAAGAGUCUCAAAAUGGCACCUUUUGAGGUAUUAUAUGGCAGGAAGUGCAGGACACCGCUAUUCUGGAGUCAAACUGGGGAAAGUCAAGUUUUUGGGCCCGAAAUCUUGCAAGAAGCAGAGAAACAAGUACACACAGUAAGACAGAACUUGAAAAUAGCACAGUCACGACAGAAAAGUUAUGCAGAUACCAGGAGAAGGGAUUUGGAAUUCCAAAUAGGAGAUUAUGUGUAUCUCAAGGUCUCACCUAUGAGAGGAGUCAAGAGAUUUCAUACAAAGGGGAAGUUGUCUCCCAGGUAUGUGGGACCAUUUAAGAUCAUUGCUUGGAGAGGAGAAGUCGCCUAUCAACUGGAAUUACCUGAGCAACUCUCUAGUGUUCACAAUGUUUUCCAUGUGUCACAGCUUAAGAAAUGUCUGAGAGUACCCGAAGAACAGUUACCUCUGGAAGAGCUCGAUGUUCAAAAAGACCUUUCCUAUAAAGAAUAUCCUGUAAGAAUUUUGGAGACAGCAGAAAGAACCACCAGGAGCAAGGUCAUAAGAAUGUGCAAAGUACAAUGGAAUAGGCAUUCAAAAGAUGAAGCAACCUGGGAAAGAGAGGACGACUUAAAAUCUGAGUACCCUCAUCUUUUUGAACCAUCCGAAUCUCGAGGACGAGAUUCAUCCUAAGGGGGGUAGGUUUGUAACACCCUAAAAAUUUAUUUUCGAAUUAGUAUUCAAUUUGGCACAAUUAUAUGAAUUAUCUGAGAAUUAUUUAGGCAAAAUAACAAUUUUUGGAAUUAUUUAAAAUAAACCAUAAGAUUUAGAAACAUGAAAUGCUGCAUUCAUGCUGGUGCAUAAUAUUUUUGAUUGAUUGUAAGACUAGGUUGUUUGGUUUAAAAAUCAAAUUGAAAGGGAUUUAUACAAAUAUAUAGUUCUGGAAAAUAUAAAAGAAUUUUCUCCUAUUCUUAUUUCUCUUCACCAAAUCUGGCCCAGCCCCUAAACCCUGGCCGGCCUGAACCCCGCGCCCACCUCUGGCCUUGGGCCGUGGCGGCCUAGCACCCCGCCCCUCGCCCGCGACGCGCGCGCACGCGGCCCAGUGGCGCGGCCCGCUCCGCGCGGUCAGCGCCUUCCCCCUUCUUCUCCACCGAGCCGGGAGCACCGCUAGGGGCAUUCAUCCCCCUUCAAACGCCGAUUGAUGGAGGCCAUCAAUCGGGGCUCCAUCAAGCCGCCUUGACGCCGGGAGUUAACGCCCGCAUGCGCGCUCCCUCAAUGCCCUGCUCGCCCUAUAAAACCCCAGGCCGAGCCCCCCCUUGCUGCCCUAGCCACCACCGGAGCUCGGAGUCGAUCCCCCACCUCGGUUUCCCCUUGCUCGAGCGACCCAGAGCCAGGAGAUCGUCUCGGGAGUUUGGUUGAGACUCGCCGCGACCGUAGGCAUCGAUUUCAUCCUUGUUUUGAUCUUGUAUGCCACGAAUUUGAGCUCACCGUUGCCCUUUUCUUCCCCAGACCGCCGCGCUCGUGGCCACACUGCUCGGAGCACCUUCGGACGCAGCGAGCAUCUCCAUCGGAACCGCGGUACUUCUACGAUACUCCCCGUGCUUUCAAUUUUGAACUAGAGCGCUAGACCACCGAGCCCGAGGCUCGCCGAGGCCGCGGAAGUGACACCACCGCGGGGCCGUCGUCCCGACGUGCUCCCCACCCCUUCUUUGUGCUCUAUCGAGUUCGCCUCGUCGCGUAGAUCAUUUCGGUAACUUUAGUUUGGUUUGGAGUGGCCGGGAACGAGUUUCCGGUGAGCUCCGAGGAGCUCACCUCGUCGGCGACAAUGGCGCCGCCGUGCUCGGCCUCGGCCAGGCGAGCACCCCGCCUCCCUCCUUCCUGAGCCGCCCGAUUAGAUCCCAACGGUCCAGAUUACAUACCCCUUCGGGGUUAUGUAACCGGUCCACCGUGGACCCGUGGGCGCGGUCCACGACACUCGGCCGGCCGGUCCACGCGCACAGUGGUGGACCGAGCCAAUCCCCGCACGCCACGUGGCCCCCUGUCGGUCAGCGACGCGGUCAGCCGCGGGCCGCUGAAGUUUUUGCAGUUUAACCCCCCUGUUUCAAGCAAAUCAACCCGCGGUCCAAUCCAGUUCAAAAGUAUUUCUUUUUAAUCCUGUUUUCUUUCGUUUUGAGCCCUGUACUUUUAAAUAAUAGUGCGCGCAGUCCAGACCCGUUAGAAAGUCAGUUUUAAUUCUUUUAAAUUCAUUUUUGGAUUCAGUUUAUUCACAGAAAUGCCAUUCAUUUUGUUUUAUGCAUAACUUUCACGUUUUAAAUCCGAUUAGAGUGAUUCUUUCGCUCAUGUGUUCGUAGAAAUGCGUAGAGUAGAUUUAAAUACUUUUUAGUCACUGUUUUCACUAUUUGAUGUACUGUUCUAAUAGAACUCUAUUUGUAUGCAUGUGAUGAUUGGAAUGGAUGAUUGAUUGGUGUUUGGAUCACGAAUAGAAGGAGAUCAGGUUGGAGUGGUUGAGGAGCAGUUUGUGGAGCUCUACCAGGAAGAAACUUUUGAGGAAGGCAAGUGUAAUAUAGGCUUCCUUGUACCUAUGAAUAUUACUUAAAUCAUACAUAUGCAUGUGUCUAAAUUGGAAAUACCUAUAAGGACUUUACCUAGAUAAAUUUUGUACCACAAAUCCUUGUUACCCAUGGGAAGGUGUGCAUCUAUGUAGGUAGUUGCUUGCUAUGCUCAAAACUCAAGUUAAUAAAUUAAUCUGAUUAAAUUGGUGUAUGCAACAUGAUAAAAUAUGUACUAGUACCUUGGUUCAGGGGGCUAGAGCUUGGGUUUGAAAGCUCUAGAUUCCUCUCCAUAAGGACUUAAUCCUGAAGCGGCCACCCAGGAGGACACGUACAAUCCCGAGAGUCAAAUGGCUCUGACCUUAAUCAUAUAACUAGUAUGUCUCUAGCAAUUUAGUAGUUACCGAAAGGCGCUAGAGGGGGGUGCCUCGUGGUGUAUAGAUGUCACUCCUACCUUGGUGUGUACAGUGCCGCGACCACAUGUGCCUCUUGAAGGAGAUCGUCUAUGCACACUUGCCACUGAAACCUCGCGGCUACUAUUUUGUUAGGGUGACUAGUGAAAGGUUACGUAGUGGGACCCGGUCACACUUCCUCGGUAGAAGUGGUGUGGGCCUUGCAAACCCCAACACUAGGGAACCACGGCUCGGGGGUAAAGUUGUACAAUUUCUGCAGAAAUCUAAAACCUGUUAUAACAGCCGAGCUCUCGGUCAUGAGCGGCCUGGAUCCUUCUUGGUUAGCGGUUACUUGGUUAUAUUUGGGGAUUAUAAUAACUUUGAUUAAUUCAUAUGUAACCAGGGUUGGACAUUCACUAAAAGUAGUAAGUCUUGGUAAAUAAAAUAUGACCAACUAAAAUGCUAACCGCUGUUAAACCGAGUCAAGCCUUUGAGCCUUCAUAUACCCCUAUGUUAUACUUGCUAAGCAUGGUGCGCUUACACUUGUUUAUAUUUCAAUGAAAAUCCCGGAUGGGUAACAGAUGUGUGUACUGAGGAGUUCCCUGAAGAUGUCCAGGACUUCUAGAGAGCUGGUGUUCACCAGUUGGUGUCCCUGUGGCAACAAGGGCUUAGCUUCCCGUUUUAUGUAAUAAUGUUGCUAUGAGCAAGACUUUGUGAGAUAUUUAAGUUGAAUAAGCGAUGUAAUAAAGUACUUUACUUUGAUAUAUUUACAAUUUGUGAUAAUAUGUGUGUUUGGACAUCCUGGGCGCACAUAUUUGAGUACUUGGUUUUGUUAUCAAAACUGGGUGCGACACAGGCACACACACUGCUUCCUAAAAGAAACUAGUACAUUCUGAUCACUUCCACAUUCCAGCGACAAUCACACUAGAAAACCUACAAGGCCUAAAAAACAGGGGAAUCAAUCACAAUCUUCAUGUUUUUCUUGCCCACUUCAGCGUCCAGUGCAAGCAUCGACUCAACAGGACAUUGUUCACUGAAGGCAUCAGUGUCUAGUGCAAGCAUCAGCACCCUGCAAUAAAAAAUAGAGGAUGCAAAAUCAGCAUGUCUGAAUGGAAUGGACAGGAGCAUGGUGCAUAAAUAGCAGGUCGGCAAGGGGCUCCUGCGCGUCGGCAGGGGCUUCGGCGCGGCGGGCGCGUCCUCCGGCAGCAGGCGGGGGCUCCGACGCGGGAGGCACCGGCUACGGCGUGGCGCAGGAGAUCCAGCGCAGUGGGCGUGUGCUCCGGCGAGGGUGCAUCCUUCGGCGAGGGGUGGGGGCUCUAGACGGGACGGCUUCAGCUCGGGACGGAAUGUGGGAGGGGGAUCCAGCGCGGCGGGCGAGUGCUCCGGCGACGCGCGGGGCCUCGCGACUCAUGAGGGGCACGUGCUCCGGCGGCGGCGUCGGGCUUGGUACGGCUAUUGGGAACGAACUGGAGACUGUGUGCUCUGGUGGGCUUAGAUGGGCUGGACUCUUCGUGGCCUGCAACUAGAUGGAAGCAUAUACAGUCAAACCGUUAGAUGUAAAUGAACGGUUCGAUUUGGGUGACUGCAGCCAGCCAUCGCUGGGAAGUCUGUGUAGAGUUACGAGGACGCUACGCUAGCCAGAAAAUCAAAAUUUUCGCCCCAUAAUCCAGGAUCUACUGCUAGAGAUAGGUUACGGAUAUACCACUCGACGUGUAGAUGCAGCGGAAGACGACUCGAUGUAGUCGAACACGUCGUAGCAGUGCCGUGCAGUUGCGUGGUCGUCCAGCAAGUCCUCCCACCACUUGCGGUUCGUCCUCGUGCUCCAGAUGCAGCACCUCCGAGGUGUCCCACACGUACGGGGAAGAAGCGAUGCGCCUCCGGACUGCUAGGUCCGCGAGAAGCGAAGGCGCGAGCGUGGAGGGCGACGGCGGCUGCCAAAAGGCGUGGAUCAAGUCUGGCCGCGCCCCUCCCUCUACUUAUAUAGGCGUCCCUAAUGUGCUCCCGAGUUGGAGGCCCAUUAGUAACCCUAAGCCUUGUCUAAUUCGGGUCCAACCCGAAUUAGGCUUCCAGCCCCUUAAGCGUGCGACCCUAUGGGUUCACGUACACAUAGACAUGGGCCGAGUACUCCUACUCGCUCAAUAGUUGACAGCGGCCUCUAGCAAGGCGUGACAACUCCUAUAUGCACGCAAAUGAUCAUAUCAGACGAACCACUACACCACAUACAUGUUGCUCCCUUGCCUCAUGAUAUUUGGUUCAACUCGUGGGUUAACACUUAACCCAAGCACGGCCAUGCAUUUGUUGAUCCAAUCACUUGAGUGAUCCAGUGAUAUCUCUCUCAAUCAAGAGGGGCAAAUUCCAUCUUGAUUGACUAUGCCUCGCAGCAUGUUUCCUGACAAACCUGAAGACUACCUUUAUAGCUACCCAGUUACGGAGUAGCGUUUGAUAGUCUCUAAGUAGGUCGUUUCACAUCUCGAAUGCAUACGACAAUCUCAGGUCUAAGGACAUAACAUAUAUGAUGUGAAUAGAGACUAUAACAUCUCACGUUGGGUCUAUCCAGCCCUAUGUCAUACAUGUGCCCACAAUAUUAGUUUGACAUCUCUAUGUCCAUGACCUGUGAAACAUGGUCAUCAACUAAUAUUGUGCUGAUCUAAUAUACUUGUAUGUCUCACACACAUUGAUCAGGGACAACUUUAGAAUAACCAUACAAGUAAAAGAGUUUCACAAAACAAUUCACAUAAUUGUCAAUCGAUACAAGUUGCCUUUCAAUGGAUAUUCAAUAUACUCAUAAUAUGUCAUGGAUAUAAUGUAAUACAAUCAUCUCUAUGAUUACCUCUAGGGCAUAUUACCAACAGUCUCCCACUUGCACUAGAGUUAAUCUCUAAGAUGUCUAAUACCCAUAGACCUCUUGUGCGCCUCAUGCUUAGGCUGUGGAAGGGCCUUUGUCAACGGAUCUGCUACAUUCAAAUCCGUGUGUAUCUUGCACAUUUUAAUUUCACCUCUUUUGAUGAACUGACGAAUGAGGUGAAAUUUCCGAAGUACAUGUUUGUUCUUCUGGUGAUUCCUUGGCUCCUUAGCCUGCGCUAUGGCCCCAUUGUUGUCACAAUGUAGAUUCAAUGGGCUAGCCGCAUUAGGAAACACACCAAGCUCAAUGAGGAACCGUCUCAUCCAAACACCUUCUUUUGCAGCUUCAGAAGCUGCAAUGUACUCGGCUUCUGCUGUAGAAUCAGACACUGUCUCCUGCUUGGAACUUUUCCAGCUAACUGCACCACCAUUUAUAGUGAACACAAAACCUGAUUGAGAUUGUGAAUCAUCUACAUCAGUUUGGAAGCUAGCAUCGGUGUAACCAUUUACAACGAGCUCCUCCUCACCUCCAUAGAUUAGGAACUCAUCCUUAGUCCUUCUCAAGUACUUAAGAAUGUUUUUAACAAGCGUCCAGUGACUCUCACCAGGAUUAGCUUGGUACCUGCUCGCAACACUUAGAGCAUAUGAGACAUCUGGGCGAGUACAUAUCAUGGCAUACAUGAUGGAACCAACUGCUGAAGCAUAUGGAACCUUACUCAUGCGUUUGCGCUCUUCAUCUGAUGAAGGACACUGCUUGUCGCUAAAACGCAUACCAUGUGACAUAGGCAAGAACCCUUUCUUGGACUGCUCCAUGUUGAACCGUUUCAACACCUUGUCAAUGUACGUAUCUUGGCAUAAUCCUAUUAGCCUCUUCGACCUAUCUCUAUAGAUCUUAAUACCCAAGAUGUAUGCUGCAUCUCCUAAAUCCUUCAUAGAAAAACUAUUAUUCAUUGAAGUCUUUACAGAUUGCAACAUAGAAAUGUCAUUCCCAAUCAAUAGUAUGUCAUCCACAUACAAGAUCAGAAACACAACAGCGCUCCCACUAGCCUUUUGAUAAACGCAAGGCUCUUCUUCAUUCUGACGGAAGCCAAACCCUUUGACAACCUCAUCAAAACGAAUGUUCCAACUCCGAGAUGCUUGCUUUAACCCAUAAAUAGAUUUUUUUUAGCUUGCAUAUUUUUCUAGCAUUAUUUGGAUCAACAAAACCUUCGGGCUGUAUCAUAUACACGUCCUCUUCUAAAUUUCCAUUUAGAAAGGCUGUUUUAACAUCCAUCUGCCAAAUCUCAUAAUCGAAAUAAGCAGCUAUUGCUAGAAUGAUCCGGAUAGAUUUAAGCAUCGCUACUGGAGAGAAUGUCUCAUCGUAGUCAAUUCCUUGAACUUGCCGGAAACCCUUUGCGACAAGUCGAGCUUUAUAGACUUGAACAUUUCCAUCCAUAUCCCUUUUCUUUUUAUAGAUCCAUUUGCACUCGAUGGGUCUAACACCAUCAGGUGGAUCAACCAAGUUCCAAACUUGAUUGGCAUCCAUGGAAUCUAUCUCGGAUCUCAUGGCACUUUGCCAUCUCUCAGAAUCUGGGCCCAUCACUGCUCCCGCAUAAGUCGCUGGCUCGUCAUUGUCUAACAACAACAGCUCCCCUCGUGCUUCACGAAGUCUUACCGAUGGGGUUAUGACUCUUGUAGACCUUCGUGGUUGUGGUGGUGCCACAGGUAUCUCAUCUUGUUCUGCUACAUUAGCAUCACUUUUGGAGUCGUUUCCUGUCGGCUCAUCUUGAACUUCUUCAAGAUACACCUUUUGUCCACUUUUCUCUCUUUUGAGAAACUCUUUCUCUAAGAAAACACCAUUCCGAGCAACAAACACUUUGCCCUCUGAUCGGUUAUAGAAGUAAUACCCUAAAGUUUCCUUUGGGUAUCCCACGAAGAAGCACUUGUCCGAUUUGGGUGUUAACUUAUCUGACAUAAGUCGUUUAACAUAAACUUCACAACCCCAAAUUUUUAGAAAAGACAAACUGGGACUCUUACCAGUCCACAUCUCAUAUGGUGUCUUAACUACGGACUUAGACGGUACCCUAUUUAGUGUGAAAGCGGCUGUUUCUAGAGCGUAUCCCCAAAACGAUAGUGGAAGGUCUGUCUGGCUCAUCAUAGACCGAACCAUGUCUAACAAAGUCCGAUUACGUCGCUCGGACACACCGUUUCUCUGUGGCGUUCCAGGCGGCGUAAGCUGUGGAACAAUUCCGCAACUCUUUAGAUGAUUGCUAAAUUCGUGGCUCAAAUAUUCACCUCCACGAUCAGAUCGUAAAGCUUUAAUUUUCUUGCCACGUUGAUUCUCUACUUCGUUCUGAAAUUCCUUGAACUUUUCGAAGGUUUCAGACUUGUGUUUCAUUAGGUAGACAUAACCAUAUCUACUAAAAUCAUCAGUGAAGGUUACAAAGUAUUCGAAUCCGCCUCUAGCUGUCGUGCUCAUUGGUCCACACACAUCACUAUGUAUAAGUUCCAACAAGUCAAUCGCCCUCUCAGGAAAACCUGUGAAAGGCGUUUUAGUCAUCUUUCCAAGCAAGCAAGCCUCACAUGUCUCGUAAGAUUCGAAAUCAAACGAAGUUAGAAGUCCAUCAUUAUGGAGCCUCUUCAUGCGAUUCUCACUAAUAUGACCUAAACGACAAUGCCACAUAUAGGUAGGACUUAACUCAUUAAGCCGAGGCUUUUUAGCACUUAUAUUACAGAUAGGUGAAUCAUCAAGAUUUAAAAUAAAUAACCCAUUCACAAUGGAAGCAGAAGCCACAAACAUGCCAUUACGAGAUAUUACACAACCAUUGUCUUUACUCGCGAAUGUAUAACCAUCCUCCAUCAAACAUGAAGGCGACACAAUGUUUCGACUCAAGCUAGGAAUAAAAUAACAAUUAUUCAACUCCAAAAUAAAUCCUGAAGGAAGGUGAAGCUGCUUUAUCCCGACGUUCAACGCAGCAACUCUUGCAUUGUUGCCCACGCGGAAAUCAACUUCUCCCUUUUCCACGCUCCUACUUCUUAUCAUCCCCUGCAUCGUAUUGCAAAUAUGAGCAACCGAUCCGGUAUCAAAUACCCAAGAAUUGAUAUAAGAUUGAGCGAGAAAAAUAUCUGUAAUAUAAACAACAAAUGUACGAGUGGAAGUACCUUUACUGCCACGAUCCUUUAUGGACUCCAAGUACACCUUGCAGUUUCUCUUCCAGUGACCUUCCCCACCACAGUGAAAGCACUUGGUGCUCGCAGUUGGUCCAGCCUUAGGUGCAGGUGGGUUUGGCUUAGAGGUCUCACCUUUAGCCUUGCCCUUUUUCUUCCUCCACGCAUUGCCCUUCUUCUUAAAGUUAGGCUUGUUCUGGAUUGCCAUCACAUGGCUACUGCUAGCACCCUUCUUGAUGUCUGCCUCUGCUUGCUUAAGCAUCCCACACAGCUCAUUCAAGCCCUUCUCGGCCCCAUGCAUAUGGUAGUUCGAGAUGAAGUUCCCAUAGCUAGGCGGAAGCGAUGCAAGAAUGAAAUCAGUGGCUAACUCAUCGCCAAUUGGGAAGCCUAGCUUCUCCAACCUGUUUGUGUAACCAACUAACUUGAUCACGUGUGGUCCAACCGCUGCGCCUUCUGCUAGCUUAGUUUCAACCAAAGCCUUGGAAACAUUGAACCUUUCAGUCCUGGCUUGAGUUUGGAACAUUUCCUCAAGCGCCACGAUCAUAUCGUUCGCCGAGUGACCAUCAAACUGCAUUUGUAGGUCUGGUUCCAUGGAAGCAAGCAUGAGGCAACUCACUUCAAGAUCAGCAUCAGAUGCUUUCUUGUAAGCGUUUCUCUCAGCAGCGGGUGCAUUUUCAGCAGGCUCAUCAGGAAGUGGGGUGUCUAGAACAUCUUCCUUUUUCUCAGCCCUGAGAACAAUUCUCAGGUUGCGGAUCCAAUCCGCGUAGUUUGUUCCAUUUAACUUAUCUUUCUCAAGAAUUGAACGCAAUGAAAACGGUUGCUUGUUAGCGGCAGCCAUUGAUCUACAACAAAAGUAUGCAAAAUACUAAGACAAUAUAUCCAAGACGGAGUAAAACAAAAUAAACAAUUUAUUAAUCUACUCCCACUAAAAUCAAUAUCCCUCUAUUGAUACUUAGUGAUUCAAGAUCCACAUCUAACAUGUCUACUAGUGAGCUUUAGCAUCACCGCUAGCAGGCAUGGUAAAUCGGUAAGCAACUCCUUGCUAAUCAUAUCUCAUAUGACUCUUGUUGUUGGGUAGCAUCUCUAUGCCUCACGCCCAACUCUCAUGCUUCAAAGUCCCUAACCGUUAGGAUGACUUUGUCUAAGCAACCAACCCUUAUGCAGUAAGUAUCCGAUACAAACCUGUCUAGUCAAAGAAAAUUAGUGGUACCCUAAUUUCAUAGACCCACCACCAAUUGUACAAGACCGGUGACAGUGCAAGGUUUGGGGAAGCAUUUCCACUUAGACAUUGCUGAGGGAUCGUUCUACUUCACUACCGCGCUUAUGUAGACAAAAACAUCAUCGCAUAUGAAAGUAGAAUGUAGUAAGAACGGCAUUAAACACGUAUGACUUGGUAUAGCCCAUGGUUCCUUUUGGGGAUCUCUAUCUCCAUCUUUCUGUUCACCAUGGCGAUCUCCAUCUCCAUGAUUUACGUAUGCCAUCCUUCAUGUGAUGAAUCCGCCAUGAUUAAUCAAUCACUAACGCAAGGCAGUGAAAUAAAAUUACAUAAUCGCGGAUUGUAUCAUCACAGAUUGGCACGCAGGCCAUUACAUUAAUUUUGACAAUAUCAAAAGGCUCCUGCCAUAUUGUCCUCAUGACGUGCAAACCAUGAAUUAAUUACACACAUGCAUCACAUACACAUAAGGGCUAUACCAGUCAUGAAUUCCUGCAAAACAGAGUUAUGCGAUUCUGACACAUAAACUUGCAGGGGCAAAAACUCUAUUUUCCAAGAGGUUUUUCGCGAUUCUAAAAUCGGCGAUCACGGCGAAGCGGUGCGAAAUCCCGACUAAAAUUUCGUUUCCUAUGCGGCAACGCGGGAAUCGUCUCAAUCCGAGUUACGGUUUAAGAGUUAUGGCUGUUUUACCGAACAGCGGUAACCCGGCGUCCAGCAGUAGAUCCCAUCUACCACCGCCGCGCAUCAUAUGCGCCCGGCACUUGACCUAGGGUUCAAUUCAAUCAAUCUAAUUGAUCUCUAACUCGACAUGAUUGGAUUUACAUGUAUCACUUAACUCGGAUGGCGGAAUUCCGACCGGUACGAGUAGAUCGUUACAUGACCAAUCACGGCAAGAUGAUGAACCAAGAUCAGAGACUCAUCAACGACCGCACAAAUCAUCAUAUGAACAAAACCGAACCUAUAACGAGGCAGUAAUAGCUCUGAUACCACUGUAGAGUUACGAGGACGCUACGCUAGCCAGAAAAUCAAAAUUUUCGCCCCAUAAUCCAGGAUCUACUGCUAGAGAUAGGUUACGGAUAUACCACUCGACGUGUAGAUGCAGCGGAAGACGACUCGAUGUAGUCGAACACGUCGUAGCAGUGCCGUGCAGUUGCGUGGUCGUCCAGCAAGUCCUCCCACCACUUGCGGUUCGUCCUCGUGCUCCAGAUGCAGCACCUCCGAGGUGUCCCACACGUACGGGGAAGAAGCGAUGCGCCUCCGGACUGCUAGGUCCGCGAGGAGCGAAGGCGCGAGCGUGGAGGGCGACGGCGGCUGCCAAAAGGCGUGGAUCAAGUCUGGCCGCGCCCCUCCCUCUACUUAUAUAGGCGUCCCUAAUGUGCUCCCGAGUUGGAGGCCCAUUAGUAACCCUAAGCCUUGUCUAAUUCGGGUCCAACCCGAAUUAGGCUUCCAGCCCCUUAAGCGUGCGACCCUAUGGGUUCACGUACACAUAGACAUGGGCCGAGUACUCCUACUCGCUCAAUAGUUGACAGCGGCCUCUAGCAAGGCGUGACAACUCCUAUAUGCACGCAAAUGAUCAUAUCAGACGAACCACUACACCACAUACAUGUUGCUCCCUUGCCUCAUGAUAUUUGGUUCAACUCGUGGGUUAACACUUAACCCAAGCACGGCCAUGCAUUUGUUGAUCCAAUCACUUGAGUGAUCCAGUGAUAUCUCUCUCAAUCAAGAGGGGCAAAUUCCAUCUUGAUUGACUAUGCCUCGCAGCAUGUUUCCUGACAAACCUGAAGACUACCUUUAUAGCUACCCAGUUACGGAGUAGCGUUUGAUAGUCUCUAAGUAGGUCGUUUCACAUCUCGAAUGCAUACGACAAUCUCAGGUCUAAGGACAUAACAUAUAUGAUGUGAAUAGAGACUAUAACAUCUCACGUUGGGUCUAUCCAGCCCUAUGUCAUACAUGUGCCCACAAUAUUAGUUUGACAUCUCUAUGUCCAUGACCUGUGAAACAUGGUCAUCAACUAAUAUUGUGCUGAUCUAAUAUACUUGUAUGUCUCACACACAUUGAUCAGGGACAACUUUAGAAUAACCAUACAAGUAAAAGAGUUUCACAAAACAAUUCACAUAAUUGUCAAUCGAUACAAGUUGCCUUUCAAUGGAUAUUCAAUAUACUCAUAAUAUGUCAUGGAUAUAAUGUAAUACAAUCAUCUCUAUGAUUACCUCUAGGGCAUAUUACCAACAGUCUGCUGAUAGGAUUCCUCCAACUGCUAGGUGGAAUCUACCACGUGAGCUUUUGCACUAAUGGACUCGGCCGAGCCAUGACCUAACACCUUUUUUCGUCUUUUUUUCUAGCAAAAUGUUGCGUAUUUUAAACGCAAACAGAAAAAUCCACAAGCGCACGGAUAACGAUGUAGUUUUCACCCGAGAGUAUUCCAGAGUAUCGAUUUUCCAUAGGGAACGUGAGUGUACUAAUUAAGAUUCAAGAUCGCAAAGACUAGAGCACAUGAUGCAAGCGGGAAUCCAAUAAAUAACUUGAAUGUAAAUAAAAGUAAUUAAAGAACUCAGGAAUUAUGAAUUGAAGAAAUUAGAGAACGAUGAAGAACGAACCAGUUGCUGCAAAAGUACAAUGUUGAGGAAGAUCCGACAGAUCCGGCUCCUCCUCCGCUCUCCUCUUCUCUCUCCCUAUUUUCUAGAUUACAACUAGAACUAACUAGAACUGGAACUAGAGGAACUAGAACUAGAACUAGAUGAACUAGAGGGAUCCUCUCUACUUGGAUGAAUAAUUGAAACCCUAACUUUGAUUCUGUAGAAGAGGUAUGUUCUCCAGGGCCAGGGGGUCUGCUUAUAUAAUCCCCUCAAGUGAAUCUCGGUUGUUGGAUCAAACCGACAUUGAUUGAACGGUUAUCCUUGAUCCCUUAGGUCAGUGGAGCAUGAUCCGCGAAGUUGACCCUGAUUGGGCACUACGGGAGGGCGGGCGCCCUGGUCUCUAGGGCGGGCGCCCUGGGCCAGGCCUCGUUCUGCCUCCACUUUGUUCUCGUGGCUUCUGGAGUCUUCUAGAUGAUAGAAAAUUGCCGCACACGUUAAUAUCUCUAUGUAAACCCGACGUGUGGGCCUUUCCUCCGUAUUUCCUGAUAACCCCCUGUAGAAAUAGACAAACACCAAAACUCGUGGAAUUCUGUCAGAUAAAACCCUAAGUCUGGGUGUUGGUUGCAUUUGAAUUCUUUUCCAUGAUUAAUUGAUGGUUAAAUGUGAGCAUUAAGGACCGUCAACAAGCUCCCCCAAGCUUAACCUUUGCUCGUCCCUAAGCAAAGCUAAAAUCAGCAAGAAAACAGGGGUUACUUUUAUGCCUCUUACUACAGGGUUUUAAAGUUAUCACUAAGGUCUUAAGUGAUUGAAAAACAGAACGAUCAAGUCAAGCACUAUGUCUCAAGUUCUUUUGUCUUACCUUUGUUCUGGAGUUUUUUUGUAAGUUCCCAAAAUAAAACUGAGGCAUUUGCCUUCUUCUCGAAAGAUAUAUAAGUAGAGCUUUAAAAGUUUUAGCAUACUUACUUUGCAUUUUGCUAUGUCAAUGCUCGGAGCAAGGGAGAGGAAUGUCAUACUCCUAGAUCAAGACCUUUGACCUUUUUGAAUAGUUUGUCAUCUUUUACUAGCAUAUUGCUUAUUAGAGGGACCAUGGGCUAUCAUUUUUUUUCUUCUUUUUUUUCAAGUGGGCACCAAGUACCCCUAAUUCUACUGUCGGACACGUGUCCAUUUUUUCCACUCAGGUGGGUAUCUUUGUACCCCUAAUUCUACUUCGGACACUUGUCCAUUUUUACCUCUCGUCUCACUCUCUCUUUUUUUCGAAUCAAAUUUUUGCAUAGUCUCAUGCCUCUAACGCAAUAAUACUUCGGAAGAGUGAAUCUUUUAUAUUUUUAAAACAAAAAUAUCUUGAUCUUUGGAGCAUAAUAAUUCUCUCAACCAAAACUACAAGAAUUAACAAUGGCUUGAACAAAGCAAGUGCCCACAUUUUUAAUAUUUAUACCUUAUAAGACUCUAGGUAUUAUGUCAAACAGGAUCUCAUUUUUUUUAGAUUUUCAAAAGAUAAAAUCUCCAGAACUCUAGCGAAACUUGGAACAAGUUAAAUAGUAGCUCAGACCUUCUCAUAUCAUGUUCGUCAAUUACCUAGACUUGAAUCAAACUUUCUUUUUAUUUUAUUUAAAACUUAGGAUUACACAAAACUAUUAUAUAUUACUCAAAAGAAAAACUUGGUUUGGUUUCAUGGUUAUGCAUUUUUUUAUUUCCGAAUACUAGUAAAUAAAACCAAGAAAGAAAAGUAAUACUUAUCUAGAUACACGUGGGGGUGCCUCCCCCAAGCUGGAUGUUGACAUAGUCGUUCACUCUUGUGGUCUGCAUGUUCGGUCUCACUCUUCUUAAGCCUCAAAAUCCUGCACAACCCAAAUAGACAACAAAACUCGUGGAGCAUGUUAAGGGUUAGGUAAAUGUCUAGAGCUUAUGAGAGCUUAAUGUGAGAAUUCUAUGAACUCAAUCACAUCAAGUUCCUCUACCAGGUUGUUUUGUGGCUCGAGAUAGAUUUUCAAGCGUUGACCAUUUACCUUAAAAGUGUUACCUAUGUCAUCUUGGAUGGUAAUGGCUCCAUGAGUUGAAGUGUCAAUAACCUUGUAUAGUCCAUCCCACUUACUUCGUAGCUUACCAUGCCCAAAGAGCUUAACUCUUGAAUUAAAUAGUAGAACCUUAUCUCCAGGCUUAAACUCCUUGUGCUUGAUUCUCUUAUCAUGCCAUCGUUUUGUUCUCUCUUUAUAGAUCCUUGAAUUGUGGUAGGCUUUCCCUCUCCAUUCUUCUAGCUCAGAUAGUUGCAUCAGACGAUUCUCGCUAGCGAGGUGGAGAUCCAUGUUCCAUUUCUUGAGUGCCCAAUGAGCUUUAAACUCUACUUCCACAUGCAAAUGACAAGUUUUUCCAUAAACAAGUUGAUAAGAUGACAUGCCUUUGGGUGUUUUGAAUGCAGUUCUAUAUGCCCAAAGUGCAUCAGGAAGUUUGUCCUUCCACCCCUUACCCAUCUCA
rnacentral:lncRNA from 1 species